GACUUAUUGUACUUUAGGGUUUGUGUGGGAUCUAGCGUUUUUUCGAGAUAUUUUGCAGAAAAAACUAGGGGUACAGCUAAUUUGUAGAAAAAAGGUGCGGGCACUUGGGACGGUGGUUUGAAAUUGUUGAUUUGUUGAGGAAAAGAAAGAUUUUGAUCUGUCCAUAGAGAUGGGAGAGUGAAAAAGAAGAAGAAAAAGAAGAAGAAGAAAAAUAAGAAGAAAGAAAGAAAGAACUACUCUAAUCAUUAGUGAAAGCCCUCAUAAUAUAUGACAAUAUGAGUUCGAAUAUUUUAUCACUGUAAUUAAACUAAUCAGUGGAAGCCCUAGCAGUUGUAUGUUCCUCAUCCCUCCUGAAAUUUUAGGGUUUGAUCAUUCGUUUCCUUGGAUUGCAAUCAUAGAUUGGUUUCCUCUUCGAUCUGUUCGGGAAUGGCGUGGUUGAUCAAAGAUUUGGGCAGACUUGUGUGUGCUAUGAUUAGAUUUGGGGCGCGAUUGGCACCGAUGAUGUAGGGUUUAGUUUUAAGAGAUGAAUUGCUAUUUGAGUAGUUUGAUAAGCAGAGAUAUUGUAAUGUUGAUCCCAAAAUAACUUCUCUAUGCAUCAAAACCAUUUUAUUUGUGCUUCCCACUAUAAAUAGAAGGUCUAAACUUUUCUGUUUUUCCAAUGCUCUUAAUUCAGAUGCAAGAAAUGAAAAUUUUGUCAUUUAAUUCUACACUUUCCUCUGUUAUGAAGGAACUUAGGAUUCUUAUGUGAUUGAAGUUUCGAAGGAAAAAUGAUGUUAAAAGAAUAAUAAUUAAUAUCAAUUUAGUGAUAUGGGCCUAAAUCCUUGCUCUAUUUUGAAUUUAUUUGUAUUUAAAUAAGUGAUAUUCGAAAAAGGAGGAGCUCUUUUCUCAAUCCCUUUCGUAAUCAAAGUUCACUCCCACCUCCUUGGUGGGAGUCAUUUUGUGGGGAUUCAAUUCACCCCGGAAUAGAAAUUGGAAUGCUAAUCGCUUGAACCAAAUGCAAAUAAUGAGAAUGGCUAAACAUGUAAGAUGACUAAACAUGCACUUAAACAUUAAUGCUAUUACAUAUUUAAGUUUCUUAAAUGAGACCAAAUAAUAGUUUAUUAUGUGUUUUAGACUACAUAAGGGCUCACUCAUAUAUGAUUUAAACUAUAUUGUUGCUAAAUGAUCAAUUAGUUAUUUUUAAUUAGGACAAUGCUAUUUAUCCUUUAAAAAUUCGUAAAGUUUUGAACUAAACAGUUUUUUUUAAAUUUGAAUUAUUGUUGAAAAUUUCUAUUUCCUUCUUGUGUUCAUGAGAUUAGAUAAAUGUUCCAACUGAGACUAAUAAUAUUGGAUUCUAAGUAAAAUAUAUAUUUGAUUACAUAUUUUUCGUAUUUGUUCUAUACUUUUUUUAACAUUAUUUUAUUAGAGUUUUAACUACUUUUCUAUUACAGGAACUAACAAUCGACGCUCAAAUUUGACUCGGUUUGCAACCCAACUAAAGUUUGAUCUUACUUGGUAUUUUUUCCCUCUCCUUUUCCCUUUAUUUUCUUGUAUUUAGCUUAUUUUGAUUGUGUUUUUGUUUUGCAUCUUCAUAUCUAUAUCAGUUAGGUUCAUUUAUACAUGAUACAAUCACAUUGAUCUAUUUAUUUGUUUGUUGUCUAUGCAGAAUUUAGUUUUUAUUUCUUUCUUUUAUUGGUGGUUUAUUAUAUCAUUUCAUAUAUUUUGCAUCCUACUAUUUGAUCUUAUGUAAAGUGAAUAAAAUUUCAGUUAUUAUAUAAAGUAUUAGUUAAUUUUUUUUUUUAAUAUGAAAUGCAGCAUAUAAACAAUGGAUAAAAGUUGGAUUGAUAUUGAAAAUAGACAAUGUCCGGAAUAUAUAAAUGGGGUCAAUCAAUUUCUACAAUUUGCAUUUGCAUAUGCUUCAAGAGCGGAUAAAAUUCGAUGCUUUGUUAUAAAUGUUGUAAUGCUAUUUUUCAAACUCGUGAGAGUGUCUAUGCUCACCUUAUUAUGCAUGGAAUUUUAAAAGAUUACAAGUGGUGGUUUUGUCAUGGAGAAGAAAUGAUAGCUGAAGAUAGAGCGAGCACAGAGGGAAGUAAUAAAGAGGAAGAAGAAGAAGAAUGCCAUGAUGAUAUGCAUGAAUUUAUACAUGAUUUAGUCCAAGUGGAGAAUGCAAAUGAUGAUUGUAUUGAUACAAAUCACGACGAACCAAAUGAGGCGGCAAAAAAAUUUUAUAAUUUAUUAAUGGAUGCUGAGAGAGAGCUAUAUCUAGGGUGUGAAAAGUUCUCUAAAUUGGAAUUUAUCGUCAAUUUACUUCAACUUAAAUGUCUUAAUGGGUGGAGUGAUAAAUCAUUUGCUGCAUUACUUCAACUUUUGAAAAAAGCUCUUCUAGUUGGUGAGUCACUUCCAAAGAGUUAUUAUGAAGCAAAGAAAUACACUCGUGAUCUAGGAUUGGAGUAUGUUAAAAUCGACGCAUGUAAAAAUGAUUGCAUUCUUUAUUGGAAGGAGUAUGAAAAUUAUGACCGUUGUCCAAAUUGUGAAGUUUCUAGAUGGAAAUAUAGUGAUAGUAAGGAAAAAGGCAAUGAAGUUCCUGAAUCAAGGAGUUGUACAAAAAUUCCUCAGAAAAUUUUACGUUAUUUUCCUUUAACGCCAAGGUUGCAACGACUGUAUAUGUCAUCCAAGACUGCUUCUCAUAUGCGAUGGCAUAAGGAAAAACGUUGCGAUGAUGGGAUAAUGAGGCAUCCUGCCGAUUCUAUAGCUUGGAAGACUUUUGAUGAUUGCACCCAUCAUUUGCUAUAUAUCCACGUAAUGUAAGAAUGGGCUUAGCUAGCGACGGAUUUAAUCCUUUCGAAAAUAUGAGCACAUCUUACAGUGUGUGGCCGGUUGUUUUGGUUCCAUAUAACUUACCGCCAUGGAUGUGUAUGAAGAGCUCUUAUUAUAUGAUGUCGAUGCUCAUUCCGAGUCCUAGAGCUCCAGGAAAUGACAUUGAUGUAUAUUUGCAACCUCUUAUUGAAGAGUUGAUCACAUUAUGGAAUGUGGGUGUUGAAACCUAUGAUGCAUUUGGUAAAUGUAAUUUUUGUUUGCAUGCAGCAAUACUAUGGACAAUAAAUGAUUUUUCAGCAUAUGCUAAUUUAUCUGGUUGGAGUACUAAAGGAGCAUUGGCUUGUCCUUCUUGUAAUAAAGAUACAUGUUCAACUAGAUUGAAGCAUGGGCGCAAAAUGUGCUAUAUGGGGCAUCGCCGUUUUCUAAAACUUGAUCAUAAGUGGCGUAAGGAUAAAAAGUCAUUUGAUGGAAAGACAGAAACUCGGCGUGCACCCAACAAUUUAUCUGGAGAUGAUAUUCUUGACCAAUUAAAUAGAGUUGAAAAUGUGAAAUUUGGAAAAAAAUGCACAUAAAAGAAAGCGAACUGAGGCUGUCUUGCUUUAUAAUUGGAAGAAGAAAAGUAUUUUUUUGACUUACCUUAUUGGAGAACACUUUUGGUAAGACAUAAUCUUGAUGUUAUGCAUAUUGAGAAAAAUGUCAAUGAUAAUAUCUUGGGGACUCUUUUCAACAUUGAUGGUAAGAAUAAAGAUAAUCUAAAUGCUCGACUAGAUCUUAAGGAUAUGGGCAUUCGGUCAGAAUUGCAUCCAAUAGAUAAUGGCAACAAUUUUGUCAUUCCACAAGCUUGCUACACAUUAAAUUUAGAUGAAAGGAGAGCUGUUUGCCAAUUCUUAACAAAUUUGAAAGUUCCAGAUGGCUAUUCCUCCAACAUAUCUCGAUGUGUCAAUGUCAAAGAGGGAAAAUUAAGUGGAAUGAAAUCUCAUGAUUGUCACGUGUUUAUUGAAGAUCAUCUCCCACCAACUUUUCAUGGCAUUUUGCCAAAAGAAGUAUAUGAACCACUAGGAGAGUUAAGCAUAUUCUUUAAGCAGUUAUGCUCAAAGACAUUAAAAAUAGAUAUGUUGGAAAGGCUAGAGCAUAAUAUUGUAAUGACAAUUUGCAAACUUGAACGGAUUUUUCCUCCUGCAUUCUUUGACAUCAUGAUACACUUGCCUAUUCAUCUUCCAUUAGAGGCACGGUUAGCUGGUCCUGUACAUUACCGGUGGAUGUACCCAUUUGAGAGGUAAUAUUUUUAUUCUAUUAUAUAGCUAUCUAGUUACUAUAUUCUUAUAGUAUAUUUUGAUUAAAUAAUAUUUAUCUUUUUAUAAAUAGGUUUUUGCGCAAGCUAAAGUCUAAUGUACGAAAUAAAGCACAUCCAGAAGGAUCAUAGCUCUAGCCUAUCUUGCUGAUGAGUGCUUAACCUUUUGUUCUAGAUAUUUAGGCAGAACGGAAACAAAAUUUAAUAGACAAGAAAGAAAUUUUGAGGACCCCAAAAUGCAAGUGACAGAGUUGCCUAUUUUUCAAAAUAAUGGGCGGCCAUUAAAUAGAGGAAAAGGGAUCUUUAGAAAGCUAUCUUAUCAAGAUUGGAAUCGUGCUCAACUAUAUAUUCUAAAAAAUUGCGAAGAAGUUCAACCUUUUCUUAUGUAAGCUUUUUUCAUUUAUUUAAUAGUAUAUAUUUUUCAUAAUUUGUGAAUUUACUCGUUAUAUCAUUUCUAAUACUCGUGCGACCGUGUGUCUACAAUUAAGAGAACAUUAAAAGGAGCUUGAGGAAGAGGGCUUAAGGAAUUUGCCAAGUAGGCAAGGUGGAACAUUUGUUAAGUGGUUUGAGUCACGUGUAAGUAAAUAAGAUAUUAUUUAUUAUUUCAUAAUAAAUUUUCACCUACUGUCUAUUUAUAUUUAUUCGUAUGAUGGUAGAUACAACGUGCGCACUGCGAAGGCAACGGAAGUGUGAGCAUUCAACUUCUUCAUUUGUCAUGUGGUCCAAAUAGAAUGAUGACUCGUUAUAGUGGCUACAUCGUUAAUGGCUUUAGAUUUCAUACAUAUAUAUAAUAUACCGAAAAUUCGACGGCAAAACCCAAAAUAGUGAGUUGUAGAGUUUAUAGUAAAGGUGAUGAGCCAAAGUGGAAGUGAGAAUAUAUGGUAACUGACAGAUAUUUUUAGAGUUGGAAUAUGGGAUGGGCGAAACAAAAUAGUGCUAUUCAAAUGUGAUUGGGGAUCUACAAUGAAGGUAGGGGUUACAAGAAGACUAAUGGCAUCCUUUCGUAAUACUACUCGAACUUGCCAACAAGAUGAACAUAUGUUCUUAGAAAUCACAAGUUGAACAAUGUUUAUUGUACAAAGACAAUAUAAUCGUGAUUGGCAGAGUGGGGGUGGUGAAAACAAUUUUACCUCGUAACUUUUUAUGUAUCCCUACUAUUUAAUGAUGAAGGCAAUAGCAUGAUGAGAGUAGUGAUGAAGAACACAUGGGAUGCAAUACAAUAGGGAGAUACCAUUACCUGAUAUGUUAUGGUAUCGAUGACAUUGUACAUCAUUAAAUCGUGUGGGAUGAUGUGAAUGGAAUUGUUAUGAGAAAAGUUACUCAUACAAAAAUAGCAAUGAUAAAUAUGACAUGUUUUAUUAAUGGACAAUGAGAAGAAGAAGGUAAGAGAAAUUCAAGAAGAUUUGUAGAAACACAGGUUGACAUUGCAUUUUAGAUUUGAAUUUAUUGGCAAAAAUUGUUUUGUAUAUUGUAUAAUUUAUUAUGAGGCAUACUCUGUUGUUUAUGUACAUAUAUGAUAUUGAUGUCAUUUUUAGUUCGAUAUGAAUUACUGCAUAGUGAUGAAGUUCUAUGCACUUUAUUUCUAUGUUCAAAUUAUUUUUAUUAAUUACUGCAGGUGUAAAUGGCUGGGAAAUUCAAAACUGGAAGGGGAGUAAAAAUAGAGUGACAAUCAACAAUGCAUAGGAACGUGCGGCUCGGUAAUACAUAUAAAUAUGAGGGACGGGGACAUCAAUCCAAACAGAAGCCGAACAUACAAUUCUCCAAUAGAGAAAACAUUGAUGGAUGCCCAUAACGUCAAUAGUAGUAGUGCUGGUAUGAUUUAUAGUUUAUAUUCAUUUUUUUGCAUAUUUAUAAAUAUAACUUGCUUUUUUUUUGAAAAUAUUAUACGUUUAUGUUUAUAGAUAACUUUUUUUGUUUUGGUUGUGUAAGCUAGUUCACCCCCCCUGGUUUGAGAGAAAAAGGACACGAGGCAAGUAUAGGGCUAAGUGGCGAAAAGAAAAAGAGAAGGAAAAUGCAUAGAUACCUGAGACCUAGACGAGUAGUGGGGUAACAAAUUCCGAAAUCAUUACUGAGACAGUUCAAAUUCAUUAGGACAGAAAAUGUUUCUCUGUAAUUGUCCGAAAAAUGGAGCAAAAUGCCUCACACAUCUUGCAUAGGAGUGUUGAAAUGUUGUCAAGUAAAUAAGUAUCUUUACAUGUGAUUUUUUUUUCUUCAUAUAUCAAACACUAUACUUUUUAUUUCUGAACUAAGAUACUUUUUGUACAUAUUAAUUUUAUUAGUUAUUCUUUUUCGUCUUUUGUAGGAAAAAAUCCGACUUCUAAGGAGUCUUCAUUUGUGCUUGGAGUCAUAGUGCGCAACUUCGACAGCCAUUUCAAUAGUUGGCGUUAUGUGAUUUGAUAGGUUUCACAUAGGAAGUACAAGAAGUACCCACAAAUGAACAAAGGUGACACGUCUUUGCUGACAUUGAUAAGUCUAUUGGAAUUGGCUAAUAGACUUUGAGUAACCACAGGUUAGUAAAGAAUUUAAAUAAGUAUCAUCGGUUGUUAUUUAAUAUAGUUAAUAUUCUUUAUUUUGCCUAAAUAUAGAGGAUGAGCGAGUGCGAACAAGCAAUAGCGUCUAAACAAACAAUGGUUGCUCGAGUGGAACAAAUCUAUUGCCAGAAUUUAAUUGAAAUGGUAUAGUACUUGUAAACUCAAACAAAAAAAAAUUAUUGAUUUAAUUAUGUUGAAGUUGGUUCAUUGAUUUCUACUUAUAAAUACUUACAUGUAUUUCAUUUAUAUGUAAUCAAUAGAGAAAAGAAGUAUGAAAGAAUUAUGGAAGAAGAUAAUGAAGCAACAUGGAGACCUGAAUAAUGAGGUUAUGGGGCAUGGUUGAGGAAAAAAAAGAUUGGCACAUGAGGUCAUCAGAUGUGAGACAAGUAUAUUUUUGAAUGAAUCUUCAUGAGAUCAUAAGACGAGAAUAGGAUGAGGACAUUCUUACAACUAGGGAAGCCUAUACUAUAGUACUUAAAAUAGGUAUGGAUAUGUUAGGGGGUAUGGGGUCCAGUCGUCCGAGCUUGGAGAGAGGAGGAGUUAGAGUAGACAAGAGCUUUCUGUGAGCAUACGGAAGAUAUAGAGCUUGGUGACAGUUCGAGAUUCAAGCCAGAAAGUGAGCUGAUGGCAGAAAAGGACGGGGAAUACAAGCGAAAUGCACAAGUUGAAGGCCGAGCAAGAAGCAAGACUAACACAAGAGAUGCUCGCUUUAGAGCAUAUGGGAGCUCAAAUGCAAGCCAUGAUGAAGCAUUUAGGCACAAAUGGGGUGCCAAUUACCCGAUGCAUCAAAUCUAAAGAUGAAAGAUGUAAGUUAAUCUAUGCCGUCUUUAUCAAUAACUUUUAUGAUUUUUAAAAGUUAUUAAUCAAAAUAUUUUAUCCGUAGGCUCCACACAAAACGCCCUUAAUACAUAUGACUGUUUUGGAUUCCUAAAAACCUGGGGUGAGCCCUUUUUGUUAAAGCAAAAGCUGGGUCAAAUCCCAAACAUCUAGGACGACAAACUUAGUGAACAAACUAGCAUAGGCUGGCCAUAGCUUAACUAGUUCCAUGGAUUCAUUGCAUUAUUUUUCCCUAAAUAAGCCAUUUUGUUAGUGCUAUAACCAAACACUAACAGGUUGAUGUUGAUUGGCUGUAUAAAUUGUUGAUGUUGAUCUAAUCAAGAUCUUUGUGAGGUGGUUAAUGUGACUUACAGAGCAAGCAGGACUCUUGAAAGGCUAGUGACCUAAUAGGACAAGUAUUCUUGUUGAGUAGAAUUAGAGGUUUUUAUAUAAGCAAGUAAUGGGCAAAAGGGACAAUAAUUUGGAAUAUUAUUGUGUAGAGUUAGAUUUUUCACCAGUUUUUACUGUUGGAGCAAGAUGUGUCUAGUCACUUUUACAGCAUAUUAAGUCUCAACAAAUGUGGGGUCGAUCUUCUGAGGGAUUUAUGAUGUGUCUAGACAAUUUUGCUUAUGCUUUUAGAUUCCACUUGUCUGGGACUGUUGUCUAGGAGUUUGGUUGUCGAUAUAUAUGUAUUUUUUGCGCACUUGAAUUUAGAUUAGUUAACGUAAGAACUUAGCUGAACUAUUGAACCUUUUGAUUCGGCGACUAACCUUUUAAAAUUUUGAUAUUAUAUCGACUUUUAAUUUGUUUGAUUUGAGCCAGUUCCAACGAUACUUUUUGGCUUGCAAAAUUUAAGCAAAAGCCGGGGACGGCUUCAAAUCAAACAAAUUGAAAGGUUAGAGUACAGAUCAAAAUUUUGAAAGGUUGGAUAGUUAAAUCAAAAUGAUUUAUAGCUCGGGUAAGUUUUAUAUGUUUUGACUUAAGAUUAAUAGUUAAUGUUCUCAGACAGAGCAUGUUCUUGAUGAGUUGGCUUUCUAUAUGUUGCAACUAGUGAUUGCUUUACCUUUUUAGAGGUUAUGUGCUUACAAUUGGACUGGUUUGAGAACGGAAAAAAUUAACCAAUCAUUAGCUACCAUGUGUAUUAUGCUCAUUUUAUUAACAAUAUUUUAAGAUUCCUCAGAGGUAUGUAGUGUUAUCAUGUAUGAAGUUUUUUGUGCUGGAUCCCUGGAGCUUCUUGCAAAAGGUCAUAGAGUAAACGUUGUGGUUCUAUAUAGGUAGUAAUCUUCUAUUCCUUAAAUUAUGCUGUAGGAAGAAUUUGUGGAUUAUAGAUUGUUGAUGUUGAUCUGUUGUUAAUGUUCUACAUGGACUUAAUAUUUACAAUUGCUUUGUUUAUUACUUUUAUUAUAUAAGUCAUUAAGGUUAUAUUUUGUAUUUGAAAGUAAUAUGAGUAAAUUUUUAAUUUGUACAGAAUGGCAAGAAAAUCGACUUUUGGAGAAUAUUUUAAUGUGCGGGAAGGCAAGACAAAUCGAACUUGUUGUGCAGGAUGUAAGUUUCUUCGAGUCAUUUUUUUGUUUAGAGAUUUCGAAUGGGCAUGACUAGAAAUGCUUAUUUUAAAGAUGGAUAGACAUCUCGAUUCUUUAUGUUUGAGAGUUAUUACUGAUGUGAUUUGUUUUAACAUAUAUUUGAUUUUGUGGUUGUUGGAAAAAAUGUUUUGUACAAACUGUUAUUUUUGGAGUAUGUACAAUGCAUUUUUAUGUAUGGUUUGAUCUGAGUAGUAGCAAGUUGAUGUUCGUUGUGUAGUUUCUUCAUUUAUUACUGUAAUGCUUUGUAUAGAAAGGUAUAUGUUUACUUCAAUGUAUCUUUAAUACAUACUUUUUGUGGGAUUUCAGAAAACUGCUACAAAGAUCAGACAUUACACUAGCAAUUUUUAUAAUGACCAAAAACUAGUUAGUGCACAGUCAGUUAAUAACUUUUUGUGAAAAAUAUAAAGUCAUUUGGACACAAAGAAUAUGCAUAUUGUUUGUUUACGAUUUGGGUAAUAUUUAUCCUACAAAAAGGUAUUAAAUAUUAGGAAUUAUUGUAAUAUGAAACACUAUUGUGACGAACUAAAUGGCCACAAAAGUUUAAAAUAUUUUAUGGCGAUUUAUUUUCUCCGUUAAUAACUAUUAUUUCACAAUGUGUAAAAUGGUAUCUGCGACGAAUAUUUUCGUCACAAAUAACAAAUUGUUUUGUGGCGAAUUUUAUUUCCUCACAAUAAUUACUGUUUUUUUACAACAUAUAAAACAGUAUCUGCGACGAACAUUUUCGUCACAAAUAAUAACUUGUUUUGUGGCGAAUGUUUUUUCCUCACAAUAAUUACUAUUUUUUCACAAUAUAUAAAAGAGCAUCUGCGACGAACAUUUUCGUCACAAAUAAUAAUAUAUUUUGUGGCGAAGAUUUUUUCCUCACAAUAAUUUUUAACAGCGGGGUUAUUAUGGCGACGCUGUGGCGGAAUAAAUUUGGCCACAAAAACGUUUUUGUGGCGAAAUAUGUACUUUUUGUGGCGAAAAUGUGCUCCACAAAAUGUUAUAUUUCUUGUAGUGCCACCAUCAUCUCAACCCUACAUUUCUUCAUCCAAUGGCUAAAAACUCAAAAGCACCACUCCCUUGGUGCUUUUGGGAGUAUUCUAGCUCAACUCUCUCUCUCUCUCUCUCUCUCUUUCUCUCUCUCUCUCUCUCUAUAUAUAUAUAUAUAGAGAGAGAGAGAGAGAAAGAGAGAGGCUCCUCUGCUUUCGAAAGUACGAAGGCCUCCAUACUUAAAAGUUGUUUUCGAUGAUAGGACAACCGAUUCAGCGAUUGGUUCCAUUAGACAUGAUCUACACUAUUUGAACUCUCCAGAAACCAAAAUUUAUAAUUUUUUGACUUCGUUUGCCUAAUAAACGAGUAGUCUCAAAAUGAAUGGUUAAAAAUAAAAUUCUCAUAAUAAACAGUGAUAAAAGAUUCAAAUUUUAAAUCGGAAGUAUUGUUCUUACUCUUGAUGUUAAGUAGAAUUUUUUAUUAAAUUUUCAUAUAAUUUGGAUACUUCUACACCGUUUAACUUAAAAAUAUGCCACAUCGAUCGUUAAAAUAGUCAUUUUUGAGACUCUGUGAUCGUUUGGUAAAUGAUGUCAAAAAAUUAUGAAAUUUGGUUUCUAGAUAGUUCCAAUAACGUAGAUUAUGCCUAACGGAGNAAGUACGUAGACCUCCAUACUUUCAAAAGUACGGGAGACGUACUCUCUCUCUCUCUCUCUCUCUCUCUCUCUCUCUCUCUCUAUAUAUAUAUAUAUAUAUAUAUAUAUAUAACAAAUUUGUAUUAUUUGGAUUUUAGGCCAAUCCAAAUAAAAAGAGACCAAACUCGUGAAUUUUAAUUGUUAGAUAAAGAUUCUAAUUUAUUUUAAAUUUUUUUUAACAUUUUAUCUAAUAGUAAGACUAACCAUCUAACUUGCCGUUCGUGAGCCAGCUCGUGUUCGACUCACUGAUAAACAAGCCAAAUAUGAGCUGUAUUUUUCAGCUCGAUACUUUAACGAGUCCGCUUAUGCUCGACUUAUUUAGGCUUAGUUUGGUAUUGAGGUCUAUCUAAUGCUAUUAGAUAAAAUGGAGUUGAGGAAAAAACAUAUAGGGAUAUAUUUCUGCGUUCUCCGGUGAGACCGCAAAAAAUAUAUCGUAGCCGACUGAUCGCAAUAUGCGGAACGUAAUAUUACGUACGAAAACAAACAGGGUAUUUUUCUAAAAUACUUUCUCACCACACGUAACGCAAUCUUUCUGCAAUCCCAAACGAAACCUUAAUAAACGAACGAAUAUGAGCAGACCCAGCUUACCAUGUUCGGGGUCGUUGACAGCUCUACUUAGUACGUAAAAUAACAAAUUAUUGCAUAAUUAUUAAGUUGCAGAUAGUGACAACUUCUUAUAUAAAACGUCACAUCGGUUCAGGCAAAAAAUACUGUGCUCUGCAAUCCACAUAUUAUACCUUCUUUAUUCAAGAAUUAAAUAUGAAGAAUUCUGAAUAUUAAGCAAUUACUUUUUCUUCCAGUAAAUAAAAUGUGGCUGAUAUUUGCUUGAAUUAUAGUCCAAUUAUUAUUCUUUAAGAGAUAGAGACAUCCAUCCGAUCAAAUUAUUUUUUAUAAUAAAAUAUUUAAAUGAAUGAUUGGUACCAUAAACCAUAAGAAAAGAUUAUGAUAUCUCAAUUCUGGACCGAAAUUGCCAAAUAAAAUCUAAAAGUAUGAAAAUAAUUUCAAUUAUUCAGAUCGUUUUACACUAUUAAAUGAGUAAAAAGCUCAUAGAGGCUACCCAAAAUUGUUAAUUCGAGACAUUCUGAUUUCUAGCUAAAAAAAUUAUGAAAAAUCAUGUCCAAAUUUUAAUUUUUAGAUAUUCUAGAUAUUCAACGAUUUUAAUAAUCUUUGGUUGGCAUGUCACACCACCAAGAUGAUAUUGCUCAACAGGAUGAGGUGCUAAUAAUCAUUUGUUGCUCCGUCACACCACCAACAUGAUAUUCAUCAACAGGAUGAAGUACUUUUUUAGAUUACAAAAUUAAAUGCAACAAAACUAUCCCAUUUGCUCCAUAAUUUUGGAGCAAAAUAGGAAAAGUUCGAACCUAUGAAAUGUAUGAUUAAAAUAAGAGAGAAAAUAGAUUUUGACCAUUCAUCUCCCUCUCUAUCUCUCUCAUUCUGUCCUUCUAAACGUGGAAAUUUUUUGGGUAAACUAUGGAGUAACUUCAAAACCUGUUUGUUUUGCCAAAGAUGAAAUUCCGAUUGAAAUAGAUUCUUUUAGGGUAAACUAUAAUUCAUAUAACAAUUAUUUUUUUUUUACUGUUUGCUUGCAUAACUGUAAAACUGAAGUUUCCUCUAUUCUGGUGCUUAUUUUGUAGGAAGCUAAUGACAUAGUAACUAAAAGUGUGAGAGAUGAAUUAAUAUUUUAUUAUUUAUAAAUUUUGUUUUUUAUUGUAAUUGACUUCAGCUUCGAAUGGGCCGAAGUCUAUUACGUUAUUUUAAAAAAUUUGAGCUUCAACUUAGGUGAAUUUAUGAGAAACCAAAUAAUAAAAAUAAAUAUUAAUUUAUGACUAAAAAAUAUUUCCCCUCUUUUCAUUUUCGGUAAAAAGAAACGCACCUGAAGUGAUCCAAACAUCUUAAAUACAUAAAUUUUUUUUUUUCAACUAAAGUAAUAUUAUUUUGGACAAGUGCUUGCUAUACCAUUAAAAAAAAGGAAAUUUUGAUUUAAAUUCUAGGGUUUCCAAACUUGCCCUAAUAAAUGGAACAACUUUUUGCAAUGCUAGGAAUAAUAUUUAUCAGUCAAUAUAAGAUGAAUAGAGCUCUUAUGAUACCUAUUUUUUAUGUUUACAUAAAGCACUUUUGAGAAUCAUUAGAUGCUGCAUGAAUGGUAUAUCCCUAGACCAUAAGGUGCAUGCAGUUAUUUGAUAGCUCCUAUAUUGCUCAGCUCAUACAAUAUACAAUAAUAAUAAGUAGGGGUGAAAACGGUCAAAUACAAUCGGAUAUCUGAUGAAAUCAUAUCUACAUUUGUAUUUUUUUCAGAUGCAAAUUCGGAUAUGGAUUUGUGUCAGACGUUAAAUUUUCGUUACCAUAUAAGUUAAAACAUAUUCGGAAGUGGUUGGAUACUACUUUGUGUUCGAAUGUGAGUUGAAUUUGUAUUUGGAUAAUAAUAUAUACUGAUAUUCACAUAUGAAUAUAAACUAGAAUUAUUAACAAUAUAAUUAAAAUUGUCAUAUUUAUUCAAAUUUUUGUAUACCUAUAUUUCAUUGAAUAUAAUAUUUUAAGAUUUAACAAACAUAAAUACAAUCUUAAUAUGAAAUUCAAAUUAAAGUAACAAAAAAAACACAAUAUACUAUCUUAUUCCCCCGCAAUAUAUAUUACCAUCUCCUUUAUCUUCCAACAAAACAAUCAAACUCCGAUUUAUAUUUCAAAUCUAAAUUUAUAAUUGUAUUUAUAUUUCACAUGUGAGCAGGGACGAAGCUAAAACUCGAUUAUGAGGUAGACGAUUAUAAGGGAGGCAAAAAUACAUACAAAUCAAAAUUUUAACAAAAAAAAAAAAGAUUUACCUAAUCAAACUUUUGAUGAGGAAAUAUAUUGACUAAAUAAUUAGAGUAAAAAAGCAAUACCCUUUUUUACUUAUACUUACUUAACUUCUAAUUAUUUUAUUUAUAUUAUUUCACUCAAAUAAUUUUAAAAUUUACUAAAUCUAAUAAUAAUUCGGUCAAUGAUUUAAUUUUUUAAUAUUUAGUAAAUACAAUUGUGACAAUUGAUGACUAUUAGUUGACAGAGCUAUUAAAGUUAAUAUAAUUCACUACAACAAAAACGGUCUAUAGCGACAUUUUUAAAUGUAGGUACAUGUCAAAAAAGUGCUGCUAGCUAAAAUUACCGACACUUUUAAAAAGUGUUGCUAUAUAUGGGGUCGCUAGGUAUAUAGUGACAGUUAAAGAGUGUCGCUAUAACCUAAAAGAGUGCUGCUAAUUUACCAACACUUAUUUAACCAUUUAACAACCGCCGAAACUCUAUUUCGUUGGCUGCGGUGGCGGAGGAGGACGACAGGAAAUGCUCUUCGUCUAGAAUUUCAGUAGAUUGAGUGAAGAGAGAAGAAAAGAUGGUAAUUGAUUUUUUUUUUUUUCUUUUCUGUUUGUAAUCGGGCCAAAUGGACUGGAUGUGGUGGGUUGAGUAGAGUAAUAUUUUAUUUUUGGUUGGAUUGGACUUUAUAUUUAGGCAUUAGUAAAUGUUUUUUUAAGUUUUAGUAUAAAUGAGACACUUACUCAAAAGUGUCCCAAACAUGUGUCCCUAUAACCUAAUUCUGUUGUAGUGUCUUUAAUUAAAUUAAAUAAACAGAUUAUCUAAAAUAAUUAAAAGUUAUGAAGGUACUAAAUAAAAAAAUAAAAAUAAAUUUAGAGUUGAGAGAGCACUAUUAGUGCCAAAAUUUUUUUAAAAAGAUAGAUCAGUCAUAUAUUUUUGAGAUUAAGUAAAAAUAUAUUCUUUAAAUUUUUUAUAUAUAAAGAACUAUUACACAAAUUAUGAAACAUCUGGGGGCCAUGGCCCUCUAAGCCUUCACACAUGUGAGUAGGGGUGGAAACGAGCCGAGCUCGAGCGAGCUUAUGUCAGCUCAAAUUCGGCUUGAAAUUAAUUUCGAGCCUAAAUUUAGGCUCAAGCUCGGCUUGNNNNNNNNNNNNNNNNNNNNNNNNNGCCCGCAGAAAGAUCUCCUUGCGUCUGCUUCGCCCCCCUCUCCAUACUAGGAAGGAAGCUACUAAGAGCAGGAUAGUAUAGUGAAAGGCUCUGCAGGGGGUUAGUGGAAGAAAACAGGAAAUUCCACUAACUCUAUGUUAAAUUACCUAUUUGCCUUCGCAUAUCGUUUCACCGACCACGAUCUAAUACCUUUCGUAGGCUUCCUCCGAUAAGUCCACUUGAGCUCAAAUUUGCCAGAUGAUCGUUUUACUUAAAAGUCCACUUGAAAUUUUUAACAUUCAUUUCGACGCCGGUUUUUGUUCACUGCGAACUGUUUCCGUAACUGUUAAUCUUUAUCCACCAUUUAACCUUCAGAUGCUAUUUCUCUCUCAUACAGGUGUCCGAACAAUGCCUAACUGUCAAAACACCUUAUAAUAAGUUCUGAACUCUCUGCCAAUUUAUAAUUUUGCUGACAUCUGUGCAUCGUUCUGCUAACUUCUAUCCCGUUCUUUACAGAAAUUCCAGUUCUUUUGCUUUCGCACCUCGAUUUUCGGCACGAUCAUUCCUUAGACAUUAACUUGGGUAUCCUAAAAUUACAUCCGACCUCGCUUAAUCUUUAGUCAAAGUUAGCGUCAGAAUUCCGAAAGAUUUAAUUACAUUUCGUUCGCGCCCAAUGCGCCGACAACACUUAUUCUCUUGGAACUCAUUCAUUACCAUCACAUAAUCCCUCCGGCUGGAUAUCCAACUAGCUCAAUCCUCAACUUUGACCCUCUAGUCAAAGUUGACAUCGCAACCUAAAUUCCAUAUGUUAGCAUAUAUAGUACAGUUAAAAGUCGUCGUAUAACUAAAAGGUGCUGGCUAAUUACAAAACACUUAUUACGCAUUUAGCAACGCUCGAAACUCUAUCCCCGUUGCUGCGGUGGCGGAGGAGGACGGCACAGAAAAGGCUCUAUCGUCUAGAAUUUCAGUAAUUGAGUAAUGAGAAAGAAGAAAAAUGGUAAUGAUUUUCUUUUUUUUUUUCUUUUUCUGUUUGAAUCUCGGGCCAAAUACUGAGUUGGUUGCGUAGUAGUCAUCUGUUAUUUUGGUUGGAUGGGCUUCAUUUAGGACAUUAGUAAUUGUUUUUUUAAGUUUUAGAUAAAUGGGAACUACUCUAAAAGUGUCCCAAACAUUUGUCUAUAACGUAAUUCUGUGCUAUGCCAGGGUUAAACACCACUCGAAUAUUUAGAUGAUGUGACCGUUCGCUAUUUUUAGCCAAUAUCUUGGAGCCAGUCGCGCUUCAUCACAAUGGUCAUUCGCUGGAAGCCCGUAUUCUACCACCUAUAUAAUCGCCUCAGUCCAUUUUCUCAUAUUUUAGAUAUUGAUUGACUCUAAUUUAGCUUGUGACAUCCACUUCUGUAGAUGGUCAUCCUAUCUAGAAUCUAAUCUACUCCCUAAAUCUUUAAUCUUUUAAUUUCUUGGACCUAAUCAGUAAUUCAAAAUAUUAGUAGCAUUCAACGAUAUAAUGAUAUGAGACAUUUUGGGUUCGUAAAACGUAAAAUAUGCAAGUAAAGACUCAAAGUGGUUGUUUUUUUUUACAAAUUAGCUAUGGGCUAUAAAUAAUCUUAUUAGGCAUUAUUUGCAUUUAUUUCAUCAUACAAUUCUACCCCUACAAAUACAUUUACAUACUAUAUAAAUUUAUAAAUAAUUAUAGUAUAUCAUUAAUCAAUAUAAUAAUAUUUAUGAAAAUGAAUAUGGUUGAAGAGACUUGCAAGGCUAUAGGUUGGAUCAACGAUAAGGACAAAGAGAGUAGGUAAAUGAAGAGCACAGAUCUCCAACUGGAACCUGCUGGUACCCAAAUUUUAUUUGGAAAUUCGAAUCCGAAACAACGAGACUCGAUGUAACAAAUAUGUUUCCAGAUAUCAAUAUUAGAAAUAAAAACCUGAUGGAUAUAGAUUCGGAUAUGAAUUUUAACUCAUAACUAUAUCCGAACUCGAACCCGACUAGAACCGCGAAUUUAUUUAACAUUAAUAGUUAACAUGUAUAAAAAUUGAUAUAUUUUUAAAAAUUUUCGGUUUAAUGUAAUAUAAUUUUCAAAUACUGGAAAAAUAAUUGUUCGGGUUCGUAUGUCAGCUUUUUGAAUUUUGUCGGAUCUCGGGUUUGAAUUUGGAUUUUUUAAAAUCCACACGGAUCGAUCGUGUCGGAUUUGGGUCUUUGGAUUCGGUUCUGUGUAUCCGCUGAGUAACAGCAUUGAGGCUUGUCGACAUGUCGUGAGAGUGUCCGGGAUAAAUCCAAUCACUUUGGGCUGAAAUAGAUGCGCAAAACGACUCGUGGUUGACACGACGCAGAGUCAGCAUUGGAAUCGGCAAUGCAGAUCUUUCCUGAUGUUGUCCUGGUCAACAUCAGAGGUGUACCGGUGAACUGUUCGCUUGCUACUGGUACAACAUCGAAGGUUAUCGGUAUUAUCUCGCUCUAUUUUCCGCGUCAUCUGCUCUCGGUUCCAUUGGUACCUAUACAACACACGUACGCCGUAAAAAAAAGUACACCAUGUAGGUGAAGCGCAUUUUGGUCUUUUCCAUGUCUCGUACAGUUCACUCAUCUCUCGCCCCAUUAACAAUAUUGUAAGGAGCCUGAGAGAAGAAAUUUACUGUCUUCUUCUUCUCUCUCUCUCUAGCCCUUCGCGCCUGAGCAAGGAGACUCGGGUGAUUGGAUCAAUGCCGAUCGCGCCGCGGAGUCCGUUCGAGGAACGGAGCACCUUAGCUUGCGGCGUUUGGGAUGCGCGCAGACGGGGUUUGCUCGGCUGACCUCACUUCGCGCCGAUCUUGGAUUACUUUUGACGGUGGUUAAUUGUCGUCUUAGCCUUCUAAUUAGCUGAUAUAAAUCGACCAUGUGUUCAAUCGGUUAUUAGUAUAUAGAAUGCUCGAUCCAUCCCGACUUCUUGUCAGUUAUCCUCAAAGAUCUGAAAUUGGAGCCUCGUGCUUUUGAUUAUACUCUAUUUGCACCAGUUGUACUUGGAUAUAUUAAGGAGAAAACUACGAUGACAACGUCGUCAAUAAUGCUUACACUACCCCAGAUUUAGUCAUUUGUAGGAGACGCCUUGUCUUAUUUUGUCAUCGCCGCAUAUAACGUGUGGAUACCCCAGGUAGUGUAAUUGGCUCAGUUACAGCUCGUACUGACUGAAAGCCGAGCUCUAUUUUCUACAGUAUUUCAGAUUGCUCCGGUACUAUUUGGGCCCGUCACGGGGGGGACUUGACGAUGGACUGCAGAUUGCUAUUCUUGCAUCAGUUUUGCCGAGGCACGUGACUCGUUGGUUGUAUAGACAGUUGAAACCCCUGUGACUAACUAUAGCUGCGAGAAGCCUGAUUGAGGCUCGGACACAUUAUUACGCUUGCAUACUCGGUUGGCUAGCCGCCCACACUAGUGCACUCCCGGAGUCGGGCUAGGCUUUUGCGUUGAUGUCCGAAGUCGCUUUUGGACUUGCUACCGACUGACUGACUGCUUAUGUGAGUACUUACUCGACAGGCACGUAUAUCCGUCUCGGCCGUAUGGUACAUUCCGAGUGAGAAUUGGGUCAAAUUGCCCACUUUUUCUAACAGAUGGUUAGUGUUAUAGUAUUAUAGUAAGUGGUUUUAGCUUUGAUUGUUCGGCUAACAUUACUACCUCUCAGCUCCCUUCUGUAAGACUUAUUGGGGAUCGACUGAUGUUGAGGGCGGCACCCACUGAGGACUAACUUAUUUUUACAGUAGUUUUUCACAGCUCAAUUUCUCUUUCGUUUGCAAAGCCGUCGUCUUUGGCAUCUCGCUGCUGUCGCUGAUUGGCUUGAUCGGGUAAGACGUCGCGAGUUAAGAUCCCUACCCAGACGUCCCCAGAGCUCCGUAGAUACCACUACAAUAUGUAGUUUAUGUUCGAUAACUACUGAUAUUCUACCUCGCCUAGCAGAGUUUUGUAUCAGGAUACUGUGAUGUAUCCGAUCUAGAAUUUUAUAUACUUAUUUUUUUUAAGCAGUCUAUAACUACUGUUGUAUCUUAUGAUUUCAGGUACAGCUAUCGCUGAUAUACGAAAAAAAAUUUGUAUACGACGAUUGUCGGAACGUCUCGGAGAUGUACGAGAAGUCUUGGACUACAGCUUCUGAUUUAAUUUUUAAAAAUUCACUUGGCCCGAAUCCGACCAACUCUAAUACAAGAAACCUGUAACAUUAACUUGUGAUAACUUUUCAAAUUUCAAAAACAAAUAACGCAAGUACUUUUUGGCCACAAUCAGAGUAUCCUAAUAAAUAAUUCUUAUUUGCAAAUAAAUCUAUUAUAUUUUACCGAAAUUUUGUUUGCUGUAAAAAAUCGGCUACCCUAAAUGAAGUGUCUAUUUACAAGUACAAGAUAAUAAUACACUAAAUUACUGCUAUGUAGCAAAACAAAUUUUACAUAAAAGAAUAGUAAAAUAAAAAUAGCUACAUAUUAUUUGAAGUUACCCGCAUUAAUUAGGGGUGAAAGUAUUAGGCACAACUCUCAGAUGAUAACAAUAGAUGUGAAAAUUAUGCAUCCAACGAUUCAAAUUCGAUUCGGAUUAUAUAUAUAAUCGAAUUUGGAUAUGAUACAUUAGAAUAUUUCAAGUUCGGACUCGAAUUUUGAAUAUCCAAAAUUAAUAUAUAUUUAGUUCAUAUAUUUUUAAAAAAUAAAAAAAGGAUAGUGGACUUAGAUGGAAAAUCCUCUCACAUUAGGCUGCAAAGAGGAUCCGCUCGCGUUCGACCGUUCUGGGCUCGAUAUCGCUCCUCGAUUCGAGCUCUUGACUCAGAAAUUAAAUGAGCCGAGCUUGAACAAAAUAAAAGCUCGAAAUUCAAUUUCAAGCCGAGCUGAGAUUACUCGCCCGUUCGAAUACGCUCGAAAAGCUGCGAACCACUCGAAUAUAUAUAUAAAUAUAUAAAGUAAAUAUAUAUAUAUAUAUAUAUACUUAAUAUAUAUAAUAUAUAUAAUAUAUAUAAUAUAUAUAUAAUAUAGAGCUCUUAUGAUAUAGAUCCCUUAUCACUCAUCAAAUUUUUAACCGUUAUGAUGGCAUGUUGGUUAGAUGAUGGUCGGUUCUCCCUUAGAAGAUAUGUCCCCAAAAUUACUAAGUUGAUGCGGUAGUGGUUAAAUAGUAUGAUCUAACUCAACGGAUUUCGCAAAUGAUAAUGGAAAAAUCUAAAGGCCAAAACUUAUGAUAUAAAGAGCCAAUACUCAUAAAUAUAGUACCCGGACUAUAAUAUAGUAUAAUAUAUAUAUAUAUAUAUAUAUAUAUUAAUAGUAUAUAUAUGAUAAGUAUUUUAUAUAUUAUAGCUUUAAUUUAUUUGUGGCUAUUAUUGUUGCCAUCGCAUAAAAAUAAACCAAACAAGUACUAGACCGGCAAGAGCGCCAACUCUAAAUUUACAUAACACACUCUCUCUUUCAACUUCAUCUGUCAACAUCAACCCUAAAAUUAUGAUAACAUCUCAAAUUCCCAAAACCGCUACUUUUUUUCCUCUCUCUCUCUCUUCCUCUCCUCUCUCUCUCAACCCUCAUACCAGUCAGGACACCCUAAGCUCAAACAUUUCUUAUACAUAUUUUGUAUUUGAACUACUUGAACAUGUUGCAAUUAAACAAUCGUAGUAAUGUCAUAAAAAUUAAACUAUUGAUUAUAAUAAUGUGAAAUCAAUCGCUCGUUAUAGCCGAACUCGUCUCGACCCAAAUUAGUUGCCGAGCUCGCUCGAAAUUAAUCAAGGUUGCUCGCUCGGCCGAGCGCAAGCUGAGCACAAGCCGAGCUAUAAGCCGAGCGAGCUCGAGCUGAGCUUUAAUUUACUCGGCUCGAACUUGUUUUAUUUUCCGAGCUUUAAGUAAAGUUCGGCUCGAACUCAUAAUGAGCCGAGCAAGCUUAAUCCGAGCUUUUUGCCAGCCCUACAUGUGAGAGCAUUAUCUACCAUCUAAGCUCCACUAUCCUUUUUUUUAAUUUUUUAAAAAUAUAUGAACUAAAAAUAUAUAUUAAUUUCUGGAUAUUCAAAUUCGAGUCCGAACUUGAAAUAUUCUAAUGUAUUCAUAUCCAAAUUCGAAUUCAUAUUAUAAUCCGAAUCCGAAUUUGAAUUCGUCUGGAUGCAUAAUUUUCACAUCUAUGUUAUCAUCCAUGAGAGUUUAUCCUAAUAACUUUCACCCCUAAUAAUGCGGAUAACUUCAAUAAUUAUUUAGCAUAUUUUUAUUUUACUAUUCUUUUAUUAAAAAAUUUUGUUUUGCUACAUAGCAUGUAAUUUAUGUAUUAUUAUCUUGUACCUUGUAAAAUAAGACACUUCAUUUAGUAGCCGAUUUUUUACAGCAAACAAAAUUUGUAAAAUAUAAUAAUUUAUUUGCCAAAUAAAAUAUUUAAUUAGAGCAUACAUCUGAUGUGGCAAAAAGCUACUUUCGUUAUUUGUUUUGAAAUUUGAAAAAGUAUCACAAGUUAAUUUACAGUUUCCUCUCUAUUAGAGUUGGUCGGAUUCGGGGUGAAUUUUUAAAAAUUUAAAUCCAAACCUGUCACGUCCCAGAUUACUCGUUCUCCGGACACGCCGACAAAUCCGUCGUAUACAAAAUUUUUUUUUCCGUAUAUUCAGCGAUAGCUGUACCUGAAAUCAUACAACACUACAACCAGUAGUAUAGAACUGCUAAAAAAAUAAGUAUAUAAAAUUCUAGAUCGGUACAUACACAGUAUCCUGAUACAAAACUCUCGCUCCAGCGAGGUAGAAUAUCAGUAUGUAAUGAACCAAAAACUACAACUAUCUGUAGCUGGUAAUCUACUAGCUCUGGCUCGUCUGGUAGGGAUCUAACUCGCGACGUCCUUACCACGAUCAAGAUCAGCGACAGCAGCAGCAGCCAAAGACGACGGCUUUGCAAAACGAAAGAGAACAACUGAGCGUGAGAACUACUGUAAAAAUAAGUAGUCCUCAGUGGGUGCCGCCCUCAACAUCAUCGAUCCACCCACUAAGUCUACAGAAGGGAGCUGAGAGAGUAAGUAAUGCUGGAACAAAUCAAAAGCUAAAAACCACUAUACUAUCAUACUCUAACACUAACCAUCUGUAGAAAAUGUCAAUCUUGACCCAAUCUCACUCGGGACUGUAACCAUACCCGUCCCAGAGACCGUGAAUAUACCCGUCUCGCCUGUCGAAGCUAAAGCUACCUCCACACUAAGCAGUCAGUCGGUAGCAAGUCCAAACAGGACACUUCGACAUCAACGCAAAAGCACUAAGCCCGACUCCGGAGUGGCACUCGUGGGCGCUACCCAACCGAGUAUGCAAGCGUAUAUCUGUCGAGCUCAAUCAGGCUCUCGCAGGCUAUAGUCUAGUACACAGGGUCCAACUGGUCUAACAACCAACGAGUCACGUGCCCUCGGCACAAACUGAUGCCAAAAUAGCAAUCUGGGUCCAUCGUCAAUCCUGACGGCCCAAAUAGUCCGGAACAAUCUGAACACUACUGUAAAAAUAGGCUCGGCAUUCCAGUACGAGUGUAACAGCAAUCUACACUACCUGGGGUAUCCACCACGCUGAUACUGCGGCGAUACAAAAUAACAACGUCUCCUAAAGCUAAAUCUGGUAGUGUAAGCAUAUGACGAGUUAUAAUCGUAGUUUUCUCCUAAGUCAUAUCCAAGUACAACAUGUGCAAAUAGAUAUAAUCAAAAGACGAGGCUCCAAUUCAGAUUUUGAAGAUAAAAACACAAAAUCCAUGAAUCGAGCAAUUUCUAUAUACUAAAUAACCCGAUGAACACAUGUCGACUAUAUAGCUACUUAGAAGGCAAACCGACAAUUAACCCACCUCAAAAGCUAAUCCAAAUCCGGCGCGACGUCGAGUCAGCGACAAACCCCGCUCGCCCGGCCUCCCAACGCAGCAACUAAGGUGCUCGCGUUCUCGAACGGCUCCGCGGCGCGACAUCGGCAUUGAUCCAACUCCACCCGAGCUCCUCCUUGCUCACGGCCAAGGCUAGAGAGAGAGAGAAGAAGAAGAACAGUAAAAUUUCUCUCUCUCAGCUCCUCUACACCUAUUGUAGUAAUGGGGAGAGAGGGUGACACGUACGAGACAUGGAAAGACCAAAAUGCCCUCUCACCUACCAUGGUGUACCGGUACACGUGUGGUUGUACUGGUACCAAUGGCAACCCGAGAGCAGCUGCGCGGAAAAUAGGCGCAGUAUACCGAUACACCUUCGAUGUUGUACCAGUACUGCAAGCAGUACCGGUACACCUCUGAUGUUGUACCAGUACAACAAUCAGGAAAUCUGCAAUUUGCAGAUUCCAAUGCUGACUCCUGCUCUCGUGUCACCACCGAGUCCGUUUUGCGUCUAUUUCACGCCAAACGUGAUUCGGAUUUAUCCCGACACUCUCACGACAUGUCGACAAGCCUCAAAUGCUGUACUCCAGGGAUACCACAGAACCCGACUCCAAACCCAAAAUCCGAACACAAAUCCGAAUCCGGUGGAUUUUAAAAAUCCAAAUCCAAACCCGAAUCCGACCAAAAAUUCAAAAAAUCUGAAUCCGAACCCGAAACAAUUAUUUUUUCCAGUAUUUCAAAAUAUAUUACAUUAAACCUAAAUUUUUUAAAAAUACAUCAAAUUUUUAUAUACAUGUUAUAUAUAAUGUAAAAUAAAUUCGGGUUCUAGUCGGGUUCGAGUUCGGAUCAUGUAUAGUUAAAAUUCAUAUCCGAAUCUAUAUCCAUCAGGUUUUUAUUUCUAAUAUUCAUAUCUGAAACCAUAUUUGUUUAACAUCGAGCUCCGUUCGGAUUCGAAUUCAAAUAAAAUUUGGGACAUCGGUGUCCAUUGACAUCCCUGCUCUCUAUUACCCUACUCUCCUUUGUCCUUACUCUUGAUCCAACCUAUAGCCUUGCAAAGUCAUCUUCCUCCACUAUUCACUUUUCAUAACUAUUAUUAUAUUGAUAUAAUAUAUACCUAUAAUUAUUUAUAAAUUUAUAUAAGUAUGUAAAAUGUAUUAGUAUUAGAAAAUUUAUGAUGAAAUAAAUGCAAAUAAUGCUAAUAAUUAUUUAUAGCAUAGCUAAGUUUUGUAAAAAAAAAAAAACAACCCUUUGAGUUCCACUUGCAUUAUUUUACGUUUUACGAACCCAAAAUGUCUCUAUCAUAUAUAAUAUCGUUAAUGGUACAUAAUAUUUUGAAUACUGAUUAGGUCCAAAAAAUUAAAAAGAUUAAAGUUUAGGAGUAGAUUAAUUCUAGAAUGGAUGACCCUCUCAGAAGUGGGAUGUCACAAGCUAAAAUUAGAGUCAAUCACUAAUCUAAAAUAUGAGAAGAAUGACUGAGGCAGGAUUAUAUAGCUGGUAAGAAUACGGCUUUCCAGCCGAUGACCAUUGUGAAUGAAGCGCGACUGGCUACAAGAUUGGCUAAAACUAGCGAAACGAGUCUCACAUCAUCUAAUACUUACGAGUGUGUUUAACCCUGGCACUACAACAGAAUUAGGUUAUAGCGACACAUGUUUGGGACACUUUUAAGUAAGUGUCCCAUUUAUCCUAAAACUUAAAAAAACAUCUACUAAUGCCUAAAUAGAAAGCCCAAUCCAACCAAAAAUAAAAGAUGACUCUACUCAACCCACCACAUCCAGUCCAUUUGGCCCGAUUACAAACAGAAAAGAAAAAAAAAAAAAAGAAAAAUCAAUUACCAUCUUUUCUUCUCUCUUUACUCAAUUCACUGAAAUUCUAGACGAAGAGCCUUUUCUGUCGUCCUCCUCCGCCACCGCAGCCAACGGGAUAGAGUUUCGGCGGUUGCUAAAUGCUUAAAUAAGUGUUUGUAAAUUAGCAGCACUCUUUUAGGUUAUAGCGACACUCUUUAACUGUCACUAUAUAUGUAACAUAUGGAAACUUAGAGUUGCGAUGUCAACUUUGACCUAGAGGGUCAAAGUGAGGAUUGAGCUAGUUGGACAUCAUCCCCGAGGGAUUUGUGAUGCGUUGGAAUGAGUUCCAAAGAGAAAUAAGUGUUUCGGCGCAAUUGGGCGCGAAACGAAAUGUAAAUAGAAUUUUCGGAAUUCUGACGCUAACUUUGACUAAAAGAAUUAAAGCGAGGCUCGGAGAUAAUUUAUGAGUUGAUCUUAGGUGCAGAGCCUUUCGCAGCUGCUGAUUGAGAGCGCUGAGUUACGUUUAUCUUCAUCUUGCCAGAGAUGGCAUUAAUCGCGCAGCGGCUGGACUGCCUUUCAGUUUAAUCUGAGAACCCGUGCAAAUGAAAAGUGAAUAUUUCCUAAUCUUUUCUAAUUUGAUCUCAGUGAUGAGUAUAAAAUGUUCAAUCGUAAAGUUACGAUAUAAUUCGCCGUUGAUAUCGGCUUUUGGAAGAAAACCGCUAUAGAAACGCAUCCAAGCAGCCUAACGGCUUGGCUGAAGCGGUUGCGCAAAGAAAAUGGGAGUUAAACCAAAUGUGCGCCAGUUAAAGCGUAAUCCUGAGAAUAAAACGUUUUCACGUAACAGCCCCAGUUAAAAGAGUUUUUGUGGGCAAAGUUACGUUAAAGCGUUUAUGCAAUUCAUAAAGUUGAGAAAAAUCGGGAUCUUAGAGUUUUUGUUCAUCACUUUAGACGGGUUUAUGAGUUAAGGUAAAAAGAGAGAUAAAGUAAAAGAAAGAAAAGAAAGAAGAGAAAGAAAAGAAAGAAAGAAAAGAAAGAAAAGGAAAGAAAGAAAAGAAAAGAAAGAAAGAACGAAGGGGCGUCGACUUCGAUGACGACGAUGACUCGAGGAUGACGACGACGAUCGACGUCGACGACGACGAUUAACGACGUCGACGACGACGACGAUGAACGUGACGACGACGACGUCGAUUUCGACGACCGACGACGACGAUUCCGACGAUGACCGUCGAAGAUCGACUCGACGACGACGACGUCGUCGAACGACGACGACGACGACGACGACGUCGAGACGACGACUCGACGACGACGACGUCGAGACCGACUCGACGACGACGACGACGUCGAACGACGACGACGUCGUCGAACGACGACGACGACGAAGAGGACGACGACUAGGUCGUCGACGACGACGACGACUCCGACAACGACGAUGAAGACAACGUCGACGACCGACGAUGAUGAUGUUGGUCGUCGUCCCCCUCCCCCUUCCCUUCUCUCUAUUAUUAGAGUGGAAAAAAAAAAGGAAAAAGAAAAAGAAGAAGAAGAAGAUGAAGAAAAAGAAGAAGAGAAAAGAGAAGAAGAAGAGGGAAACGAGAACGAAAGGGAGAGAGAGAGUAUGCAUACCUUCCCUUCUCCGACUUCUCCCCUAUUCAUAUCUCUUCCGAGACCGUCCCCCAAUCACCUUAAGGUGAUUGAGAUACAUUUUAAUGGUAAAACGGGAAGCUGAAUAGGCAAAUCGCUGUGCCUAAUCUAUGGAAAGCAUCCGAGAAGGCUAUCAGGCUAACUCGAGUUUAAACCGUCCUUACUAGCAAAAAUGAAUUGUUCAGGUGACUUUAAAAUUGUAAAGUCAAAGCUGGGGCAAACCAGUGACGCUUGACAAGGCUUGACAUUAGAAAUAGGCUAUUGAAGGUCUACGAUAAAGAGAGAGAUGUCCACAGUCUUUUUAGACUUUGAAGUUUUGAUCGGAAUAUUAUUACAAGGACUGUAGAGACGGUUAAAAAUAUUAAAAGACUGUGACACGUAAAAGACGAUUAAAGAGUCAGGGCAAGAAAUGUCUUUUAAGGUCAAGAAGACGAAAGCGAGGCUAAAGCCGUGCUCAGUAAGGUCUGAUUGAACCCAUGAGNUAUAGUAAAGGGUGAUGAGCAAAGUGGAAGUAGAGAAUAUUAUGGGGUCUUGACAGAUAUUUUAGAGUUGGAAUAUGGGGGGCGAAACAAAAUAGUGCUAUUCAAAUGUGAUUGGUGGGAUACAUACAAUGAAGGUAGGGGUUAUAAGAAAGAAGCUAAUGGCAUCACUUUUGUAAAUACUAGUCGACACUUGGCAACAAAUGCACCAUAUGUCUUAGCAUCACAAGUUGAACAAGUUUACUAUGUACAAGACAAUAAGAAUCCUGAUUGGCAAAUGGUGGUGAAAACAUUACCUCGUAACUUUUAUGAUAUCCCUACUAUUAAUGAUGAAGAGCCAAUAGAUGAUGAAGAACCUACAUGAGAUGCAAAUAUAAUAGUGGACACCUUACCUGAAUAUGUUAUGGAUAAUGAUGACAUUGCUACAUCAUUAAAUCGUGAUGAUGUUAAUGGAAUUGUUAUUGAGAAAAACAAUCUAUCAUACAAAAAUAGCAAUGAUAAAUCUGACGAUGAUUUUAUUAAUGACAAUGAGGAAGAAGAAGGAGAAGAAAUUCAAGAAAACGAUUUCUAGAAACACCAGGUAUGACAUAUUGCAUUUUAGAUUGUAUUUUGCAAAAUUGUUUGUUAAUAUUUGUAUAAAUUUUAUUAUACAUACUCUUUGUUUAUGUACAUAUAUUAAUAUGAUGUCAUUUUAGAUAUGACAUUAUUGCAUAUGAUGAAGUUCAUGCACUUUAUUUCUAUAGUCAAACUUAUUUUUUAUUAAUUACUGCAGGUGUAAUGGCUGGAAAAUUCAAAACUGGAGAUAAUAAAAAUAGAGUUGACAAUCAAACAAUGUAUAAACAACGUGCGGUUUGGUCACUACAUACAAAUAUCGAGGGGACCGGAGAGCAUCAACUCCAAACAGAACAUAACAUAACAAAUUCUCCAAUAGAGCAAAUGGAUGCCCAUAACGUACUAAAUAGUAGUAGUGCUGGUAUGGAUGUUUAAUAGUUUAUAUUCAUUUUUUGCAUACUUCAUAAUAUAACUUGCUUUUUUUAAUGAAAACUAUUAAUACAGUUUAUAUUUAUAUGAUAACUUUAUAUUGUUUUGGUUGUGCUAAUGCUAGCUUCAUGUUAUGAGAGAAAGAGGACACGAGGCAAAACUAUAGGGCUAAACUGGGUGCAAAAGAGAAAAGAAGAAAAGGCAAAGCCUGCAAUUGAGAUACCUGAAGACCUAAGACAAGUAGUGGGUACAAAUUCCCAACAAUUCAAUACUGAGACAGCUCAAAUUAUUAGACAGAAUGCUCCUCUGAAUGUCGAAAAAUGGAGCAAAAUGCCUCCACACAUCAUUGAUAGGAUGGUGAAAGUUGUCAAUGUAAAUAAGUAUCUUUACCCAUGUGAUUUUUUUUCUUCAUAUAUCAACACUCCUUUUUAUUUCAAUGACCUAAGAUACUUUUUGUACAUAUAAUUUUAUCUAUUUAUUCUUUAUUCUCUUUUUUAGGAAAGAUUCACGCUUCCUAAGGACCUUCAUGCGCUUGGAGUCAUUCAUCAAGUUCCUAUUGAAAUAGGAUCUACACAAGGAAAAGCACUUGCCAUUCGUUGGUUAAGUGUGCCAACUUCGAAGCCAUUUCAAUAGUUGGCGUUAUGAUUUGCAUAGGUUUCACUAUAAGAAGUACAAGACAGAUGAACAAAGGCGUGUACACUGUCCUGCUGACAUUGAUCCGGAUCAUUGGAAUUAGCUAAUAGACUAUUGGAGUAACCCGAAGUUUAAGGUAGAAGAAUUUUAAAUAAAAGUAUCAUAAUUGUUAUUUAAUAUAUUAAUAUUCUUUAUUUUGCUAAAUAUAGAGGAUUAGCGAGGCGAACAAAGCAAAUAGGUCUAAACAAACAAUGGUUGCUCGAGUGGGAACAAAAUCUAUUGCAAGAAAUUUAAUUGAAAUGGUAAGUACUUGUAUGCUAAAAAAGAAUCUUUUUUUUUAUUGAAUUUAAUUAUGUUUGAAGUUUCAUUGAAUUUCUACUUAUAAAUCACUUAACAUGUGCUCAUUUCUAUGUAAAUCAAUAGAGAAAAGAAGUAGAAAAGAAUAUGGAAGAAAAUAAUGAAGCACCUGAAGAACCUAAAUACAUGAGGUUGUGGGGUAAGGUAAGAAAAAAAAAAAAAAGAUGGCACAUGGGUUGAUACAGAUGCUGCAGACAAGUAUGUUGAAAUGCAAACUCUUCAUGAGACUCAAUUAAGAGAGAAAGGAGAAGACAUUCUUACAACUCGGGAAGGCUAUACUAUAGUACUUAAACAUAGGUCUGGAUAUGUUAGGGGUAUAGGUCCAGGUCCAGAGCCUUUGGAGAGAGGAGGAGUUAGAGGACAACGACUUCGUGAGCAAAUACGGAAAGAUAUAGAGGAUGAAAUGACAGUUCAAAUUCAAGCAGAAGUAGAAGCUCGAAUGGCAGAAAAAGAGGCUGAGGCAAAGUUUUGUUAGUAUGUUCUUUUCCAUCCUUUGCUAUAUUUUUCAUAUGUGCCUUUGCUUUCUUGUUCUUGUAUUAAUUGGGUAAGGCAAAGUUUAUAGGAGUUUCGUCCCUAAGCUCAACUUCUUUUGUGCGGUAGUUGGUUCAUUAACCAUUGCUAUCAUGAUCCUUAUGCUUGUUUCUUCUCUUUAUCAAUAACUUCUAUGAUUUUUUUAAAGUUGUUUAAUCAAAAUAUUUCAUCCGUAGGCCUCCACACCAAAACCCCUUAAUACAUAUACUAUUUUGAUUUCUAAGAAACCUGGGGCAUGAGCCCUUUCUGUUAAAGCAUUAGCUGGGAUCAAACUCCCAACAUCUAGGACGGCAACCUUGUUAACAAAUACUAGGUUAGGCCAGUGGCUAAUUAGUUCAUGAUUUGUUGCAUAGUUUUCUCAAAAAUAGGCAUUUAGUUAGUACCUAUAACCAAACACUCAAACAAUUGAUGUUGAUUGGUGUUAUAGAUUGUUGAUGUUGAUCUGUUUUUACAUGUGACUCUAUAUAACUUAAUACUUUACAAUUGCUUUGUGUAUUCCUUAUAUUUAUAAGUCAUUAUGGGUUGUUAGGAUUCGUCCACAUUGGGACUUAUCUAAGAUAUUUCUAAUCCAUAUGGGAUAAGAAAUAAAUAUUUGUAAUUAUCUGUUAUAUUCCUAGUCCACAUGAGAUAAGGAAUAAAUCUAACAGAUAAACCCUAAUCUGUUUAUAUAGUUAGAAUAUGAUUAGGAUUAAUAUCUCCCUUAUGGCCUAUAAAUACAUGAGGUAUUGACCAUAUUCAACACACAAAAAAAAAAAAUUGGAAAUUAUCUCUCCACAAAAUUCUCUUGGGUUCGUUCUAGGGCACCAUCUGAAACCCUAGGGAUUUGGGCGGUGUGCGGCGAUCGACUCUAGUAGCCGGAUUGCAACGAGUAAGAACAACGUGCAACAAAUUGAAACAGGACAUUGGCGGAUCAACGAGUUUGUAAAAUAAGAUGAUAUCAGAUCCUGGUAAUCACAACAUUAAUUCCGCACUAUAAAGAGGUAUGUAAAAAAAAAUCUAUGUGAUUUUUGCGACGAUUGAUUUUUGGGUAUUUAAUUAAUUUUAUCCAACAGUAGUAUCAGAGCUAUGUAGUUCUUGUUUUCGCUCGAUGAUUCGUUUUUUUUAACAUCAAAUAUAUUUUUAGAUUGUUAAAAAUAAAUUGAAUCGCAUAUUGGUUGAGACAAACCGCAUGCUGCCCGCUCUGGACUUAAGAGGCCCUCCUGUGAUGGGUCUACGGGGACCCGCGCGCGCAGGGCAUACGGCCUGGCGCAGCCACCCGCGCUAGGCUUGCAAGGGCCCGUGCAGGGCCUGCGGGGGCCCGCAUGCGCAGGGCCGGCGGCCUUGCGAAGCCGCUCGCUGGACUUGCGGGGCUCGACUGAAUUGGGCCCAAGCAUGCUUGUAAGGCCAGCGUAAGCGUAAGCCCAACUCAAGGGCUUAAUGGUUCAAUAUAAAAUAAAAAGAGAGAAACAAUUUUGGCAUUAGGAUUUGAACCCUCAACCUUACCUUUACACCAACUUCGUCUAACCACCUAAACCUGUGUUUGUUUUAUAAAAUUUAUGCAAUCUAAUACUUAAUAUAUUGUCUAUGAUACAUGUGAUGAUACUUUUCAAGUUGCAAUGUGUUAUUUUGAUUAAAUUGCAUAAUGUUCAUCAUUUAUUUUGUCACGUGGAUUUAUUCUUGAUUAAUUUGAUAUAUUAUUUUUAUCUGCAUUGGAUGAGAUGAUUAUUAGUCUUUUUCAAAGGCGAAAUUUUUCGAUUUGAAGAUGCAGUGAGAAAUUUUAUUAUCAAAUUAGAUUGAGAAUAAUAUUAUGGAUAAUUGUNUUUGUCACGUGGAUUUAUUCUUGAUUAAUUUGAUAUAUUAUUUUUAUCUGCAUUGGAUGAGAUGAUUAUUAGUCUUUUUCAAAGGCGAAAUUUUUCGAUUUGAAGAUGCAGUGAGAAAUUUUAUUAUCAAAUUAGAUUGAGAAUAAUAUUAUGGAUAAUUGUGCCUAAUUUAAAAUUAUGUGCAUUUUUGUAGUGAUAUAUGGCUUCCAAAAAUUUUUCCAUCGCGGAUUCGUUAAAUCAAAAUGGGCUUGAUGGAGCAAAUUAUGACAUGUGGCAUAGAAAAAUUCAAUAUCUCCUUAUUGAGAAAGUGAUACUUAGCCAUUUAACCAAUAGUAUGGUUCAGCCUGAAGAAGGCACGACGGCCCAGCACCGUCGCCAUUUACAAGCCUAUAACGAGUGGCUUGAGAAAGAUCGAAGUGCACGAUAUACCAUGUUGAGCUGUCUGCACGAUAAUUUGAUCAAAGAAUUUGAGAAUUAUGAGACUGCUAAGAAUAUGUGGGAGCAGCUCAAAGUGAAAUAUGGGGGCACGUCGACUAUAAGACUUCGUGCCUUGAAUCUCAAAUUCAAUCAAUACUUGUUGGACCUGAAGCAUUCUAUGGCAGAGCACUUAAUGGUGAUGUCUGCUAUGAUAAGUGAACUUAAAGCAACCGGUUGCAAGCUCACUGAUGAACAACAGGUUCAAUCAGUUAUAAGGUCCUUACCAGAUUCAUCUUGGGAUCAAAUCAAGGUUGUGCUGACUCAUAAUGAAGGUAUCAAGACCUUCAACGAUAUAGCUCGACAUCUUGAGUUGGAAGCGGAGCGCAGAGAGGCGAACCAUGCCAAUGCACUCGUUGCCCAUGGUGGACAGCACAGAGGCAAGUGGCCUAAGCACGAGCGCCGAAAUAGGGAAAGUAAAUAUACAAAGACCGGGAACCGCGCGCCAAAUAAGAGCGGAAUUGAAAAGCGCCGCAAAGGCAGGCGCGGAAAGAAAAAUUUAAAUAAAGUGAAAUGCUAUAACUGUGGAAACAUGGGACACUUCGCUCGUGAUUGCACUGAGCCGAAGAAGGUAAAUCCCAAUCCUGACUCUCUUAUUUAUGUAUGCUCGCACGUUUUUGUUGCUCACGCUCUCUCUGAUUGGAUUGUAGACACAGGAGCAACAAAGCAUGUAACGAGAGAUCGAGCAGGAUAUGUGGAUUAUCGUCGGGUGCCUGCUAGCAACCAUUAUGUCAUGAUGGGAAACGGCACUGAGGAAGAAGUCCUUGGAAUUGGCGCAUACCAACUUAGAUUGCGCAAUGGUCGUUAUUUGAUAUUACAUGAUGUGCUGUAUGCACCGAACAUCCGAUGUAAUCUACUGUCAGUUUUAGCGUUACUUAGAUUAGGUUUUUCUUUUCAAUUUACGGAUACUCAGUUAGCUAUUUAUUUGGGCAAGGACUUUUAUGGUAAUGGUUGUUUAAAGAAUGAUUUCUUUGUCUUAGAUUUGGACUUGGAUUUUAUUAAUAAUAACAAUAAUUCUGCUUUAUUAGUUUCUUCUGAUAUUGUAUCUGAUUCUAUCAAAUGGCAUGCGAGAUUGGGUCACAUUGGACAAGAAAGAAUGGCUCGACUAGUUAGAAAAGGCCUGUUGGGGUCACUCGCUAAGCUUAGCCUACCUCCUUGUGAACCAUGUUUAGCAGGAAAAGCCUGCAGAAAGCCUUUUGGUAAGGCACGUAGAGCAACUCAUCCAUUGGAGCUAGUUCAUUCAGACAUAUGCGGACCUAUGAAUGUGAGAGCACGUCAUGGCGCAUACUAUUUCCUCACUUUCAUUGAUGACUACUCCUGUUAUAGUUCGGUAUAUCUGUUGUCUUACCGUUCAGAAGCUUUGGAUUAUUUCAAACGCUUCUUAGUGAAGGUUGAGAACAAAACAGAAAGAACUCUAAAGUUCUACGUACUGAUAGAAGACGAGAGUAUUUAUUAGACCAGUUCAGGAAACUAUGUGAGGAAAAGGGAAUACGCAGAUAGUUAACUAUCCUCGGUACUCCGCAACAAAAUGGUGUUGCAGAGAUGAGGAAUAGGACACUUUUGAAAAUGGUUAGGUCUAUGAUGGCGCAAGCCAACCUCCCAAUUAGUUUUUAGGACGAUGCGUUGUUGACUGCUGCCUAUAUACUUAACCGAGUGCCCUCUAAGUUAGUUCCUUCAACUCCCUAUGAGCUAUGGCAUGGUAUAAAGCCAAAUUUGGAAGGCUUACGACCAUGGGGAUCGGCAGGAUAUGUGCAUAAUACUUCUCAUAAACAUGGGAAGUUAUGCCCUAGAGCAAAUAAACAAAUUUUUAUUAGAUAUUUUAAUUGCUCGAAAGGCUAUGUGAUGUAUGGCAAGCAUCCUGAUAGAGGAAUGACUGAGAUAGAGUCCCGUGAUGUGGAUUUUCUUGAGAAUGAUUUUCCAGACAUUAGUGAGAUUAAAAAGGAUCUUGCACUAUACGAGUUGCAAGAAUCUAAUGGAAAUGCCCCAUUGUUAGGCGAGAAUGAGGCACUGAGGCCACAUGAUGAUAUAGCCCAAAAUAGUGGUGAUCCUAUGGUCAGUAGGAGUGUGCCGAUUGACUAGGGCUGACAAAGUCCAUCAUUACGAAGAAACAAACGUGGUGGUGUUCCCCGUCGUCGAUUUGAGAUUGAAGGGGAAUCGUUCAUGUGUGCUUCUACGGAUGUUGAUGAGCCGGCUUCUUAUGCUGAAGCUUUGAAUUCACCAGUUUGUGAUAAAUGGCUAGCUGCUAUGGAGGAUGAGGUGAGUUCUAUGGCUAAGAACAAUGUGUGGGAGUUAGUUGAUCUUCCGUCUGGACGUAAAACUAUUGGAAAUAAAUGGAUUUUUAAAAUAAAACGGAAGGCGGAUGGAUCAAUUGAUAAAUAUAAGGCCUCACUAGUGGCGAAAGGAUACACCCAAAAGGAGGGAGUAGACUAUGAAGAGACAUUCUCCCCAGUGGUGAGGUUUGUCUCAAUUCGCCUGAUUCUGGCUAUCGUCGCAUAUUUAGAUUUGGAAUUGUUCCAAAUGGAUGUGAAGACUGCAUUUCUCAAUGGAGAACUAGACGAGGAGAUUUAUAUGAAUCAACCUCCUGGUUUUAUAGCCGAAGGACAAGAGCGCAAAGUGUGCCGCUUAAAACGUUCUAUUUACGGUUUGAAACAAUCGUCUAGGCAAUAGUAUCAACUUUUUCAUAGAGCAAUUAUUUCAAUAGGCUUUGUGAUGAUCGAAGAAGGCCAUUGCGUGUAUGUUAAAAUAGAUGAAAAAAGUUUUCUUAUCCUUUCACUAUAUGUAGACGAUAUCUUGUAAUAAUAUAGAGUUAAUAAUCACCACACAGAAGUGGUUGUCCUCUACUUUUGAGCUGAAGGACAUGGGACAAGCGGAUUAUGAAUUGGGAGUCAAGAUCCAUAGGGAUCGAUCUCGAAAAUUCUUAAGUUUGUCUCAAGAGACUUACAUUUUUGGAGCGAUUCCGAAUGCAUAAUUCAAAACCUCUUGACACUCCAAUGGAAAAUAAUCAUUAUCUUAGCCUUGAACAGUGCCCUAAAACAGAAGAAGAGAGAAAGCAAGAUGGAAAAAGUCCCAUAUGCGAGUGCAGUCAGCAGCUUGAUGUAUGCAAUGAUAUGAUAGCAGAUCCUUUUACCAAACCCCUUGUUAGAAAUAUUUUCCAUAAACAUGUUAGAGGAUUGGAUUUGUGUAGGACUUGACUUUUAUAUAUCUUGUAUUAAUAAUUUUGCUAAUAAAUUAUUUUAGAAAUCAUUUUUCAUUCAUAUACAUGUUUAUUGAAUUUUAAAUUAGUGCACAAUAUCCUUGUAAGAAUGAAUGUCACCAGGCCCUUGAUCAGCCCUCUCACACGGGUGAUCGCCCUUCGCUAGGAGAGCGAGCAGGAUGAGACAAAUAAGAUCACAUAAAUGCAGUUAGUAAUGCAGGUGAUCCACUUUGCGCUAUAAGAGCUGGCGAGUGUUUAAAUUUUAAAUGUCGUCUUAGAUGAGCUAAGAUGAAACUGUACGAAGUCGACAGUAGAGAUGGUCCACGACUCUACUUGGCCUAUAUGAAGCCGAAUGUAAAGAAGACACCAUAUGGGUGACUGUCUUGAGGUUUGUUGUCUUGAGUUACAACAGAACCAACAUUCGUAUGGUGUUUUGAGCAUGACAUGUCCUUAGAGGUAGCUCCACCAUAGCAUACGUUCAUACCGUAUGUGCAAGAUCGAUCACUAUGUUUUAGAGAGUGACAAAAUUGAUUCCCGUUUCGUCGCUGUGUGAGCUUUUGUACCCUUUGGGACUUAAAACCAUAUUAUGAAGUGGAUACUUGAUGAUGCUACUUUAGCAUGAUAUCCAAGGGCCAUGAUUGAUUCGGUCCAGCGGAACAUGUCUAGGAAAGCACUCAAGUUGAAAUGGAUUGACAUGAGGCAUCUAAGAAAAAAUCAUUUGAUAAUACACCUAUGAUUUGUUACUCAUAGCCUAGGCGAUUAUAUUGAUAUUUGUUGUCAAUAUAAUCAUGAGAACAAAUAUAUUAAUGAGAGAGAUCUAGCUUGCUCUAUAGGAUCAGAGAUGCUAUGAUCUGGUGUAGUUCAAUGAUUUGGGAUAUAGACGAGAUUUGGAGUUGCAGUGUUAUGUUAGUUCGGAUGGUGGUUUAAUAUAACACUCCUCACUUAUGAUUCUUCUCGUUGUUGAUCGCACCAACCAUUUCCCGUAUGAAGAGCAGAAUGAGAUGAGAAUAUAUUAGGGAUGAGAAAGUAUAAAUAAGUACCAAGUGUGUACGAGUGGGAGAUGUUAGGAUUCGUCCACAUUGGGACUUAUCUAAGAUAUUUCUAAUCCAUAUGGGAUAAGAAAUAAAUAUUUAUAAUUAUCUGUUAUAUUCCUAGUCCACAUGGGAUAAGGAAUAAAUCUAACAGAUAAACCCUAAUCUGUUUAAAUCUCUAUCUAUGUGGGAUUCAGUUAGAAUAUGAUUAGGAUUAAUAUCUUUCUUAUGGCCUAUAAAUACACGAGGUAUUGACCAUAUUCAACACACGAAAAAAAAUUGGAAAUCAUCUCUCCACAAAAUUCUCUCUUGGGUUCGUUCUAGGGCACCAUCUAAAACCUUAGGGAUUUGGGCGGUGUGCGGCGAUCGACUCUAGUAGCCGGAUUGCAACGAGUAAGAACAACGUGCAACAAAUUGAAACAAGAUGUUGGCGGAUCAACGAGUUCGUAAAAUAAGACGAGAUCAGAUCCUGGUAAUCACAACAUUAAUUCCGCACCAUAAAGAGGUAUGUAAAAAAAAUCUAUGUGAUUUUUGCAACGAUUGAUUUUUGGGUAUUUAAUUAAUUUUAUCCAAAAUGGGUCAUAUUUUAGUAUUUGAAAGUAUUACUAAGUAAAUUUUUUUAAUUGUACAGGAAUGCGCAAGACAAAUCGACUUUUGGAUUAAUUGUGCAGGAAUAGGCAAGACAAAUCGACUUUUGCAGGACUAAGUUUCUUCGGGUCCAUUUCUUUUUAUUUAGAGAUUUCAAAAUGGGUGUGACUAAAACACUGCUUAUUUUAAAGAUGCAUAUGACAUCGAUCUUCAUAUUUUGAAACUUAUUACUUGAUGUGAAUUUGUUAUGACUUAUACUUGAUCUUGUAGUUGUUGGAGAAAUGUUUUGUGCAAACUGUUAUAUUUUGGAUAUGUACAAUGCAUCUUAUAUGUAUGGUUUAGAAUUUGGCUAGUACAAUUUAUGUCCUUUUUGUAUUUUCUUGUUAUUUAUGUAAUGCUCUUGUAUAAAAAUUAUAAUGUUUAAUUCAAUGUAUCUUAUAACACAUACUUUUUGUGAGGAAUUUGAUAAAAUGGCCACAAAAGAUCAACAUAAACACAGUAAUAACUUUUUGUGACAAAAUAUAAAGUUUGGACAUAAAUAUGUACCCUUUUGUUACGAUUUUUUAAAAUUUCUCACAAAAAAUCAUUUAACUAUUAGAAAAUAAUAUUUAUAUUUUAAUGUAGAAUUAUUGUUGAUAAAUGAUAUGAAAUACUAUUGUGAUGAACUAAAUGGCCACAAAAGUUUGAAAUACUUUAUGACGAUUUUUUUUCUCCAUUAAUAACUAUUAUUUCACAAUAUGUAAAAUAGUAUCUGUGAUGAACAUUUUCGUCACAAAAUAUAACUUGUUUUGUGGCGAACGUUAUUUCCUCACAAUAAUUACUGUUUUUCACCAUAUGUAAAACAGUAUUUGCGACGAAUAUUUUCGUCACAAAUAACAACUAGUUUUGUGGCGAAAGUUUUUUCCUCACAAUAUUUUUUAACAACGGGGUUAUUAUGGCGACGCUGUGGCAGAAUAUUUUUAGCCACAAAAACGUUUUUGUCGCGAAAUAUGUACUUUUUGUAGCGAAAAUUUGCUCCACAAAAUAAUAGUUUUCUUGUAGUGAAUAUAAGAGGGUUAAAAGAUUAAUUUAAUUCAUUCACUAACUAAAGUUAAGUAUUUUACUUAUGAUUAACUAUAUAUAUUUUUCUAACAGUUCCUAACAGUACGGAUAUGUUCGAAAAUAUUAGGAUUUUUGCCUAGAUAAAAAUAAAAAAUUAAAGUUUAUAGAGAUAUAUCUGCUGUUCGAUAUGUUUACAGAAGCAAGCUGUAUACAAUUGAUUAACCCUAAUAAAAUUGGUCCCCACCCAAACCUGACCCAUUUACAUCACUAUAAAUAAGGCCGUAUGACAUGCCUCUCUAUUUUAUUACGAUGGAUGGUUGAUUAUUAUUAAAUUAUUAAGAGAUGAUUCGAAAAGUUAAUGUACGAGCGAAUUUUUAUUUUUCCUUCGCCAAAGCAUCACCUCAAGUAAGUAAUAGGUCCUUCCGAGUGGGUCUGUUCAAAGAGUUAAAGUUAAAUAUCUUUUUCUAAACUUCUUCUUGUUAUUAUUAUUUUUUUCUUUUUUUUAUUCAGGAAAUUUUUUGUUGUUUUACUUUAAUUUUCAUGAUUUUCAUUUUUCUAAUUCUACAAAGUUGCAAAAGAUUAAGUUGUUCAAAACAAUAAGAAUGUCAGAAUACUCUCAAAAACAUUUGGCCAAUUUGCAUAAAUAGUGCAACAUCUUUGCAGAUUGUGCAAUAUUUUCUUCCAAAUAAUAUAAUAAUUUUGUAAAUAGUACAAUAUAUGUAUCGUUUAUACACAUAUUGUAUGAUUUUUAUACUAAAUUAUAAAUAAUAUAAUAUAUUACGUAUAAAUAGUAUAAUAUAUUACAAUAUGGCAUAAAAAUUAUAUAAUAUGUGUACAUAGGAUGCAUAUAUUUCAAUAUUUAAACAAAUGUUGCAUUCAUAUAGAAUCCCGGAGAGAAAUAUAUGAGACGUCAAAUGCGGCGUUUGAUGACCGGUUGCGUAGAGCAUCAAAGUUGAUCCCCUCCUUGGUACCAAACAAAUAUGAAGCCGCACCAAUUCAGCAAUAUUUAUAACAAUCGUUAAAACACCAAUCAAUUUUAGUAUUUCGCUGAUCAAAUUAUGUUGAAGAUUUGGUAUAUUUUUCCGCCUUGUCAACGCUGUUGAUCCUAUUAAAGACGACGGAAUCCUAAGCAGCAGCAGCAGCAGCAAAUGAUGAGAAACCAACCGACGGACCCGGUCACUGCUCGGGCGGGCCCAUUGGUUUGAAUCGAUAGGCCAUACAGAUGGAAGUCAAAUCCGAACCGAAUUAAUAUUUACUAGUUCACAUUUGGAUAUUGUGUUGUCAUUUCCCUCUUAUUACAAGUCAGGAUUUUAUUAGAAUUUGAUAUUUAGCGGCAUUAGUGGUAGUGGUUCCUUUCCAUACUUCCUUCCAGUUGUACUAAAUUAGAAACUCCAUAAACAACUUCCACAAGCCCAUCUCUUGUUAUGUUAUCACGAUGGAUGGUUGAUUAUUAUUGAAUUAGUAUGAAAUGAUUCAAAGCCUCGGCACAAGAAAAUUCUUUAUUUAUUUAUUUAUUUAUUUAUUUUUUUAAUCUGUUACGAAGAUGACGUCUUCGAGUGAGUGAGUCCGUUUCGAGAGUGCAUCGUAAUCGUAAUUUUAAUUCCUCAAAUCUUUUCUUCACUGAUUCUUUUUCCUGUUUAUUUUUCAAGACUGUCCAUUAUUUUGCUUUAAUUUUAGUAAUUCUCAAAGCCUCUGAAAUCUUUUUGUAUUCCCCAAUAUUUUAAAACAUAACACAAAGUUCUUAAACCCCCCACCCCCCAAAAAAAGAAUCGAGUCCUACUUAUUUUUGAGCCUGUUGGCAUUCGAUUAAAUCGAAUCGGGUAUGCCCAUAAGCGGGUUCGAUCCGACGGAUAUUAUGUUAUCUAAUUGGAUUAGAAUUAAUCUCGCUUUCAAAUUGGAAAGCUAGUUAGAGAUAAAUCCUAGUCAUAUUAUGAUAACAAUUAAUAACCGAUUUGGCCUUAUCUCUAACGCUAUUAGGAUUUUGAAAUCCCUUAUAAAUAUGCGGGCAAUCCCACAUAACAAUAGGUACAAGAACGGAAAAAGAAAAGAGAAUAAGAAAACGAAAAAGAGAAACCACAUCCUCCAUCAACCUAUUAUUCUAAGAGGGACUUGAACGGUGGAUUUGUGAUCAUGCUCGUUUGUAGUUCGAUCCAUCGCGAGUUUGGAACGUGAGAAGAUGUAAUCAAGGACGAUCAAAGGACACGUGAAUCAACCUCGACGAUCCGAGCUCAUCGAGUUGUAACGCGAAUCGCUUCCGCAAAAGGUACAAACGAACACUUCCGCUACGUUCUACAUUGGUAUCAGAGCCCUUUUUGGUUGAUUUUGUGGCCUAAAUCAUUUUUUUUAACGAGAUUGCAUGUAUAAAAUUAAAUCUAUCAUUGUUUGGAUUUUUUCUUGCAUGCUUGAGGUCGUUAAUGGCGUUUUUUUCAAAAGUGGAUAUCAUUGCAUGAUUUUUACACAUCUUGAAGCACCGAAAUUGUAGAUUUUAUCUACAAAGUUUGAUUUGAUAUGGUUUUGUACUUUAUGAGAAAAACGAAACCUGUAAGGACUGAGACUUUUGCAGUGUAGCUAAACUCUCAGUUGACGAUGUUUUGUGUGUAAUUUAAUUACAACAGCACUCGUCAAGUUUUGGGUGAAAACGAGUUAAAACGGAAAUUCUACGCGAUUUCCAAGUUUCACUUAAAGUGAAUAGUAACUCGAAUUUUCGGAGAAAUCACGAUAGGAAGUUGGCUUCUGGCUCGUAUCGGACUCCGUUCCUAGCGGUCUGAUAGCUCGUUUCGACCGGUUCAGCUGUUCUGGAACUAUUGGCGCUGACGGAUUUUGAGUUUGAUGCACGGAUUUCAAGAAAAUCCAAAAAUACAUGUUUUAUAUGUAUUUUCGUGUUGUUUCCUCUGUUGGCGAGAAAGAUUGGAUUUUGUCGCGAAUCCGUGGUCGAUCGUGGUGAAACGAAAUCGUAGCUUUGUUGUCUCCGUCGUGCUGAUCGCACUGGUGCAAUCCGUUCGCAAAUCUGACGGACGGAUCUGCGGAGAUUGCGCGUUGAUCGAGGAGAGGUUUGUAAUGGCAAAACGGUAAUUUUGCAAAAGUCGCGAUAUUUUAUGUACCGUUUCGCGUGGGAUCGCACGUGGAGGGGUGUCCGCGAGUUUUACACGCGCUGCGAAGGACUCAGUAAUAAAUACUGAGGUUUGGUGGACUUAUUUGCAAAGUUACACCUUAGUAUUUAUAGCUCUUUAGGGUUUGGAGCCUUGUAACCCUAACCUAGCCCUAGCCGCACCCCCAGCCACCUUCACCCCACUUCCCUGCACCUGCUGCGUACGCCCAGGCCGCCGCCGACUUAGCCCCGGCCGGCCAACAGCCGCCGGAGCCACCUUCCUUCCCCCUCUCCCUCUCUUUCUCUCUCUCUCUCUCCUCUCGGGUUGUGAGGAAGCCCGAGACUGCCGCCACCUUCAGACCCUCGGCCAGGGUCGCCCCGUGCUCUGGCGAGCAUCCCCGCCGAGCGCCGCCGUCGCCGAGCGCCGCCGCUGCUGCCACUGCAGCCUGCAGCCGACUUGGCCGAGCCCUGGCCGAGCAGACCGUGCGACCUCUUCCUCGCUUUGCCGCCGCCCUGGGCGACUCCCGUAACACCUUCCCGACGUCAGGCCGCCGGCCGCCGCCGCCCCGAGCCGCCCAGAGUGCCGCCGCCGCCGCCUCGGCCAGCCCGCAGCAGCCCCUGACCCGCUCGGGCCGAGGCGAGCGUGCGACUCCACCCCUGCGCCGCCGCCGCUUGGGGCCGCACCCGAGGCGUCCCUCCGGCCUCCUGCAAUCCUCCUCCGCCGUCUCGGAGCUCCCCGGCCGCCGCCGUGGCCGCAGGUGCCCGCGGAACCCGUGCCCUAGCCGUGCGGGCUUGUCUUGUUCCUCCGCCGCCGCCGCCGCUUCCAGCCGCCGUCUGAGGUGAGCACCUCACUCCUCACCUCCCCCGCACCCAUCCCUGGCCUCCGCGCGCGUCGCCUUGCCUCCGGAAGUCGGCCGGAGCAAGCUUGCUCCGGCCAAGCCCGAAAUAGGGCUUAGUUAGGAUGGUUUACUGUUCCGAGCUUCUCGAGCCUCCCCGAUCUCUACGGAAGGGAGCAUGAUGAUCCUGGCAAGUUGCUGAUCAUCGUGCUCACCUUGGUUUCUGUCGGGAAGGCCCCGUUCCGCUGUUUUUGCGGUGUCAACCCUAUGGAGCCUUUUUGGUUGUUGUUCUGUGAUUGUGCGUGCUUUUCCGGCGAUCCGAGGCUGUUCCGAUGCCUCUGGAGGUGAGCACGGUGACCGCUGGUCAGUGCUGAUCACGGUGCUCACCUUAUUUUGGAUCAGCAGUGUCCGGUUAGUCCUGUUCGGCGCGAUGUCCCUUGACUGCGCGCUGUUCGCUGAACCUUCGGGUUGCUCCCGCGCUUCCCACAGUGGGCCGUUGUGCUCCGGAUCUUGAGCACGACCUCCGGUACGUCGAGACCUAUCAGUACGUGUCUCGGCGGACCUUGGAAGUCCUCGGUUUGCGUGAACGAGCCACUUGAUCGCUCAAAUCACAUAAAAUGAUAGGAUUUUAUGUAAUUUGAGGGGCUUUUAUGCUUUUGUACACCUUGUGGCUACUGUGGGCAGUGCAUGUAUGGGUGUGGUGACCUCUGGACUGAUUGUCCAUGAUCCCUUAGCCUUUGCGGAAAUCGAGGAGUCGAUUUCGGUGCGUUUUGCGGCGAAAUUCGCCGAAAGAACGCGGUUUCGGUUCAGAUUUCUUCUGACGUCGUUUGGUCGCUCUGUAAGUAGCCGCUAAGCCUUGUUGGAUGGUCACCAUCAUCACUGUGGGGGUUCGGUGAUGACGGGUGAGCGAUUGCGGGUUCCGAUGUCGAAAUAGACACUUUCGCGACUUCCGGCGAGUUAUGACAAUCGGUACUGGAAAACCGAUCUCCGUGGGUUUGUUUGUGGGUUGUGGAUACUGUGGUUAUUAGUUGUGGGUUAGAUACUAACCCGGUGGACCCUCUAUAGGUCCGGUUGACAUUCUUUUGCAGUCAGGAGACAGACGCGACAUCCUUACAGGUGGGUACUUCGAUCCGACGUUGGUACAGUGGUGCACGCUUGGUGAUGAUUUCUUACCCUUGCUCUUUUGUUAUUAUCCAUGCAUAUGUUAUAUGUUGAGCUUUGCACCUCUAUUGUUUACAUUACACCCACGUUGUUUUAUUAUACUCUACUCAGACGUUUCCAUGCUUAGUAUCAUGCGUAGGAGUAUAGUCUAUCUGUAUGUGAUACCAUAUUUCCUUAUUGCUCUACUUAGCUAUUCUGCAUAUCCUGUUUCAUGUUUAGAGUAGAGCGGUUUCGUGAUUUCUUGUGAGAUCGGUGACCUAGUCAGUCGGUUCCUUGAUGUUUGUCGUUUGAUGACCUUUGAGGUCGGUGUACCCUAAGAGGUCGGAUUGUCGGCUAGUGGCCGAUGGUAGUUCUAGAUUAUAUACUCAGAUGACUUGUUGAUCGAUUCUUGCUUAUAUACAGUAGUUGACCUAAUGAUCAGUAUCUACAUACUUUUGGUAGGAUGUUGAGUUGUUCCAUCCCAGUUGAUUUGAUUAGUCAGUACUUGCAUACAGUUGAGAGGAUGUAGAGUCGUUCCAUCCUAGUUGAUCUGAGUGGUCAGUCCUUGUGGUUCAUUGAGCAGUAUUUGCAUAUGUUUGAGAGGAUGUUGAUGUUGUCCUAUCCUAGUUGACCUGAGUGGUCAGUUCUUAUGCUUUCUUACAGUUGAUGACCUAUACGGGUUUCUUACCCUUACUCUUCUGUUGUUAUUAUUGCAGAGUAUAUAUUGAACCUUGCACCUGCAUUUAUAUCUGCACUCCUCUACUCAGUUAUUUCCAUGUCGAUAUCAUGCUUAGAUGUAGAGUUGACUUAUCUGUUCACUAUAUCUGUGAUUUGGUUGGGCGGUUCCCCUAUUUUGAUAUCUAUGACCUAUACGGUCGAUGUGCCCUGAGGGGCUGGAUUGUCGGCUAGUUGCCGAUGGAAGAUCUUUGAGCAUACUACAUUGAUCGUGUAAUGUAUUGAAAAUCUCUCUCGAGCUAAUUGUGACUAAAGUGAUCACAAUAAUGCAAAAAUGGAAAUUAAGCAAUCUUAAGCCUAAUUAGAAGCUUGAGAUUAGUCCUUGGCACAUUUUGGAAAUGUGAGAAUGGAUAAGAAUGGAAUCGAAGCGGCAAAAGAACUCCAAUUGCUGAAGUUACCUUAAUGCUGAAAUUUUGGGUCAAUUUGGUCUAAAAUAGUCAAUUUGAUGCCAAAUUGGAAAUAGAAUGCUUCCAAAUUAAAUUGGUAGCUUGGGAAGGUUACUUGAAAUGUUUUUGAAGUGUUGGAAUGAAAUUAGAAUGGAUGGGAAAUAAGAAACAGGGAAUUGAAGCUGCUGUUGUGAGCUGCUGCUGCUGCUGUCCUGUACCGGUACAGAUUCUUGUACCGGUACAGCAAUUGUGGGCUGAAGUGGACUUCAAUGCAAUUCCAGUGUUGUAAUGGGUUAAAGUGUAAUUUUUCACCCUUAUCAGCUCAACCUCAGUGGAGUACACGUAUCCAAGCAUCAUAACUCCCUUUCUCUUCAUCCUUAUCAUCUCUUUUCCUUCUCCUUUUCUCUCUAGACAAAGAAGGGUUGGAGAAGUGAAGUGGCAGAGGGUGGAGUGUUGCUGGCUGGGGAGAAACCUGAUCCAAGCAAUAAAUUCUGCUGAUUGGAGUUGAAGGAAUUCUUGCUUCUCGAUCUAGGAGUGACCUGGUUGAACAUCUAAGUUAAGGUGAGUUGAUUAGUAAUUGUUUUCAUGUAAGUUCAUAUCAAAUUGAGGCUUACAUGAACCUCCUGCUGCUGGAAAUGGCAGAGUUGCAGUUAUUACAAGAGGAAGAGUUGAUGAAAUCUAUGAGUUGAGUAAUUCCUUGCUGGUCCGAGCUGAGAGGAGCUACCUAGUAAGGAGUUCCUGCUAUUGCUGCUGCUGUAGGGAUGAUUUGGACUAGUAAGUAGUGAGCAACUGGAUUAAACUCUAAACUAAGGUAAGCUAAGUCCAUAUCUAAUUGUAAUUGAGUUAAUUAUCUUAGAAAGGAUACUCACCUGGAUUUAUUGCAACUCUAAGUUGCAGCCUGGGUGUUUACAGACUUAGAGAAGUGGUCGAGCACCAACCUGGUACCAUUGGUGGUGAAAAGAACCAUCGAAAUGGAGUUUUCAGCAAAGGGGACUUGAGUGAAGUUGCUGAAUUGGAAUUACAGCUGAGGAGAAUUUGGGAGAAGCUUAAAUCUUGGUAAAUGAUGCUAAAUUCCCAAGUAGAAUGUGAUUACUUGUGUAGAAGUGAUGAGUUGUUAAUGCUGAAAUUCAGACCUGCAAGUUGAUGUCAUUGGUACUUCCGAAAUGCAAGGAUAGACUAUUUGAUGCAAUGAGCCAGUUAAUUUAGCAUCAAAUUGAAGUAAGUUUGUUCCAUAUUUGAUAAUGAUCAAAUUAGCUGCUUUAGAAUGGACUAAAUUAAGGGUCUUGUUGCUGAAAAUUCAGAAUUGGAGCUGAGAUGAUGUCACGCCCCGGGACCAGCGGAAGCCCGCCCGGCGCGUGCCCAGACCCGCCAUAUGUCUACAACAUAUAAGGCGUCUAAAACAACAAUAGUAAAAGCAAUAAUAGAAGACAUCUAGGAGUAUCAGAGCAUAGAAAAUGUCUAAUUGCUAACAACAUAGGAUAAAGUUCAAACUGUAAAUCCACUAAAUAAAACAUAAAGUAAAUACAAUAGAAAAUCCCCAAAUACCAGUGCUAUGAGUAGAUACAUAGGUGGUCUCUAUACAAGGUACAAAAACUCUCACUCUCUCUCAACUACAAAAGAAAGAGUAAACCACCUAGGCAAGUAAGCUCCUCGCUAGCUAGCUACGCGAUCCCCUUGCCGCGAUCCCGUGCCUCCGCCGGUGCCGAAGGCUCUGAAAAGGAAACAUAGAAACGNGUAUCUUUAAAAUAAAAAAUAAUAAUAAUAUUGAAACUGUUCUGGUGCGUGGGGGGAGGCACGCGGACCGUGCGUAGGCCGCGGUCAGCAAGCGCAAGCAUGCUGGGCUGCGCAGGCCCCACGCAGGCCACGUGCGCCGUGCGUGCCACCCGGCCCAGCAGGCCGCGCGGGCCGCCCAUGCACGCGGGCUCGCAGCGCUGCCCCGCGGGCCCGGCGGGCCGCCCAUGCACGCGGGCUGGCGGGGCGGCCCCGUAGGCUGUGCGGACCGCCCUUGCGCGCGGUCUUGCGGCGCUGCCCCGCGGGCCGGGUGGGCCGCCCUUGCGCACGGGCUGGCAGCGCGGCCCCGCGAGCCGCGCCGGCCGCGCACACAGGCUGGCCACGCAAAGGCCCCACAAGGGGAGCCGCAGCCCGCAGGGGCCAGCAGGAAUUUUUUUCUUUUCUUCGUUUUUUCUGUACAAAUUUUUUUUAUAAAAUUGUUUAAGCAUUUUAUGCAUUUAUUAGAUAGUUUAAUAUGCAUUUCGUGAUAUAUGUUACAAGCAUUUAUUAAAAUGAUUUAAUUUUUUUUUUGACAUAUUAACAUGCAUAAUACCUGUUCAACUUUAGGCAUAAUAUAUUUUUUUAUGCAUGCCUUGUCAAGUGGGAAUCUUUUAUUUUUGGUUGAGUAAAUUAUAUGCUUUUACUCCCAAACAUUUUUGUGCAUCUUAAUUAAAUAAUUUAAAAAAUUUUGACAUAUGGUGUGUGAUGUGAUUACGAGCAUAGCGAAAUUUUUCUUUACACAUGUAUGAUCUAUUUUUUAAUUUAUUUAAUUAGAGAUGCGGCAAAAUUGAAUACAUGUAUCGUAUACUAAUUUUAAAAUAUUUUUUUCUGCGCAUUGCAUGAACAAAGUGAGAUUUAAUGGCUUCCAAACAAAUUGUUGCGGAUUUAAACAAGGGCGAGAAAUUGGAUGGUGACAAUUAUGAUAUUUGGCACCGUAAAAUUCAAUAUGUUCUCGCUGAGCAAGAGGUCCUGAAAAACUUGAGUAAUAAAAUGGACCUACCCAUAGAGGGCACUAGUGCCCAGGCUCGCCGAGAUAUGGAAGCCUAUAAUAAUUGGCUCAAAAAGGAUCGCAUUGCUCGCAUCACGUUGCUGAGCAGUAUGCAGAAUGAUCUCUUGUGCGAGUGUGAGCAGUAUCCUACUGCGUAUGACAUGUGGGAGGCUCUCAAAGCAAAAUUUGGUGCAACUUCGGCUAUAAGAUUGCGCAGUCUGACUAUGCGGUUUGACGGUUAUAAAAAGCGUGCUGAUCAGACUAUGAAACAGCACGUUAGAACAAUGUCAAACAUGAUUCGCGAGUUAAAGUCGGCUGGCGGCACCUUGACUGAUGAGCAGCAGAUCCAAGCUAUCAUUCGCUCCCUUCGCAAUUCGUGGGAACAUAUGCGAGUAAAUUUGACCCAUAAUGACAAUAUCAGAACUUUUGAGGAUGAUGCACGGCAUUUGGAGUUGGAGGAGGAGCGCCUUGAGGCUGUUAAAACUCCAACCGCCAAUGCUGCUGAGCCAAACUUUCGCAGGACAUCUGGGUUCAAGCGAAAGAGGACAACCGGGGCUCAAAAUCGUAGCGGAUCCGCACCUAAUAAUGUGAAAAGCACUAAAAGAAAGAGAAGCAAACGAGGUGGCAAGAAGGACAAGUCAAAGAUGACUUGUUUCAAUUGUAAUCAGCUGGGACACUUCGCUCGUGAUUGCACUGAGCCGAAGAAGGUACCUGUCUAUCCCGAUUCUCGCUCUUUUGUUUUUUCUAACACGUUUGUUGCUGAAUCUCUCCCAGUGUGGAUUGUAGACUCAGGAGCAACAGACCACGUAGCGAGGGAUCGGAAGGGAUUCGUCGAGUACCGUCGUGUGCCUGCUGGGAGCAGAAGAGUAUACAUGGGGAACGAUUCAAGUGUCGAUGUGUUAGGCGUUGGCACAUACAAGUUGAUCAUGCAAGGUGGUCGAACUUUAUACCUACAUGAUGUACUUUAUGCUCCAGGNNNNNNNNNNNNNNNNNNNNNNNNNNNNNNNNNNNNNNNNNNNNNNNNNNNNNNNNNNNNNNNNNNNNNNNNNNNNNNNNNNNNNNNNNNNNNNNNNNNNGGCAACCGGAGCAAAGUUUCUUCAAAGUCUAUUCCUCAAUUUGAGAGUACCCCUGAGCCACAGUCUAGCUUUGUUCCGUACGAUAGUACCGAUCUCAUUUUUCUAUAUUCUUAAAGAUCCAUUUGGUACCCAAUAAUGUGUUGUUGCUUCAGGACGAGGCACGCAAUCCCAUACAUCAUUGCGAACAAAUUGACCAAGUUCUUCUUGCAUGGCAUUAUCGCAAUAUUCAUCAACAAGAGCUUCAUCAAGCAUUCUUUGGCUCAAUCAAAGAAACAUAACAUGGCAAAUUCACAUUGUAACUGACUUCUUUCGCACACCAACAUUAGGAUCCGCCAAUCACAUUUGACAAAGGAUGAUCUCUUGACUCAGUCAGGGGAAUAGUUUCAGGAGAUCGGCUAGGGAUUUCAGGCGUGGUAUUUUGUGGCUCCAGAUGAAUCAUUUGAUGCAAUAUUUUCAGAAGAUGCAAUGGAAUUAUCAGGUAUAGAAAACAUCAUCAUUCACAGCAUUUACAAACGGAGAAUCAUUAUCAUCGUCAGUUCAUUAUCAAAGAAUUAAGAAGAACCAUCACAGAAGAACUUACAGAAGAACCUUCAUCUACUUUUAUAUUGAUAGACUCUAUCACCGUCUUAGAUCGUAAAUUGUACGCACGAUAAAGCACGACUGUAGUAGAAAACAAGAAAUAUGCCUUCGUCACUGCGAGAGUCAAAUUUCCAAGAUUUCACGAUCCCUGAAGGAUAAACAUUUACCCCGAAGACACGAAAGUAUUUAAUAUUAGGUUUUCUACCAAGCCAAAGUUCAUAAGGCGUAUUCAAAGUGCCCGGACGUACAUAAAUCCGAUGAUAACAUAGACACUGUGUUAACUGCUUCGGCCCAAAAAUGUAAAGCAAUUUUCUUACUAUGAAGCAUAACACGAGCCAUCUCCUGUACAACCCGAUUCUUACGUUCACACUGCCUCCGUUUGUUGGGAGUGUAUAGGGGCCGAGAAUUCAUGUUUUAUACCGUUUGAAACACAAAAUCACAAUUUGGAAUUUAUGAAUUCUCCCCUUGAUCGCUUCGAAUGCGUACAAUUUUAUCAUUUCGUUCAGUCAUAAGACGAAGACAGAUUUCAGUAAAAAGAAUUAAAAGUAUCAGCUUUUUCUCGUAAGAAAGCAACUCCAUAUAUAGCGAGUAAAACAUCAACAAAUAAGCAAAAUAUAACGUUUACCACCCAAACUUUGAAAUCCUAGAUGGUCCCAAAUAGUCCAUGUGAAGUAACUCUACGAGGUUUAGUUGUCCCUAAGUGGUUCAAGUUCUUAUUGUGGAUCUAGUUUGUUUCCCUAAUUGGCAACCCCAACACAGUGUUCUCUUUAGUUCAAUCUUAGGUACACCUCUAAACUCCCUUCUUGGUUAUCUUUGAAGCUCCUUAAAAUUUAGUGACCUAGUCGUUUCAUGCCAUAAAGUUCAGUUUCUAAUGACGCUAGGUUGCAAUGUUCCAGUUGACGAACUAGGAACUACAUAACAAUUAUUCUGAGAUCUAAUGCCCUGUUAAGAUAAGAAGCAUUGUCAUCACGAGUCACAUGGCAUAUUCUAUCAGAGAAUUCACAAGAAUACCAAUCAUCACAUCAAUUGGCUUAUGCUUACGAGAUUAGAUUAAGCCCCUCAACAUAAAAAAACAUCAUUCAACAUAGGGCCGUCUGAGAUAGUCACUGUUCCUUUCCAAACGAUUUUUUGACGAUCGACCAUCCCAAAGACAACAAGUCCUCCGGAGAUUUUGGUCAAAGAAGUAAACACAAUUUUUAUCUCCGGUCAUUGUGACGGGAACAGCCACUAUCCAGAUAACCAGAUGAGUUAUCGUAAGCAUGAAGUGAAGUUGAAUGACUAGGCAUGGGAAGAGUUCACCUUUGCGCACACCAAACCUUACGUUUUUGUUGUGUCAGUUCGCUUGCUUUUGUUGAUCGUGGCUUGUCGACGAUUUGAAUUGACUCCUCUUCAUAUCCUCCUUCUUUGGUUUCCAUGCUUGUUGCCUUGCUUCGGAGUAUUUGGUGUCCAAAUUUGCUCUUCUUAUGUUCUAAAUCUUCUUUGGAGUCACAAUGACUUCAUUGUCGUUUUAGGGUCACUCUUCAAGAGAGCUAUUGAGCUCUUUCCCUUUUGGUAGCAGAAUUUCUUUAUGUGUCCUAAAACACCACAAAUAGACAAUUUUGUUAGCCAAAUUGUUUUUAGGAGAGAAAACUUACAAUAAAGUUUAGGAACGGCCGUUGACGAUUUCCAUCGUCUUUCUUCGUAGCUUGAUCAAGAUAAGUCCGUUCAUAACAGUCCAAGUUUAUUUGUUUGACGCAGUCCAAGCAUCUUGUCUAGUUUACUCGAGCCAGAUGAAAAUUGGUUCAAAUCCGACUUCAGUUGAAUGAUCGUCUUGGUGAAUUCCAUAUUUGCUUCUCUAGGCUUCAGUGUUUGCUUGGUAAGAAAUUGAUGUUCUCCGCCUGAGUCUCCUUUUCUUUUUCAAGUAACGAACAUCUCUCAAGCAAAGAGUUGUAAGCCUGUCAACCCAUCUCUUUCUUGCUCUAGACCUUGUUAAAGAGACCAACUUUGAAUUUCUUGUCCCAACUCAUGUAGCUAACCGCGAGUUUCUUGUUAUGUUUGGCCAUCUUCUUUGAUUCAACAACUAAUUGUUGAUAUGCUGCGACCAUGUCAUCUCGUCGCGAUUCUCAUCCGAUGAGUUCUCCGAAGAUACUUCUCUUGUAUAGAUGUUGUAGAAAUCGAGUCAGCAGAUGCUAGACACAUGAAAGUUGAAUCCUGUGCAAACAUGCUGUGGCAUUCACUCCCUUCACUCAAAGUAGAAUCGUCAGAUGAGAGUCGUCCCAGUCAUAGCUUGCAUAGCUUCUCUUCUUCAAUGACUUUUUAUUUGGACAGUCAGAUGCUAUAGGCCAAAGCCCCUACACCUUGUGGCAUUGAAUUUGACAUUCACCGUUUUCUCUCUUUUGUGGAGUCCUUUUGAGAGUUAUCAGAUUUUCUGUAUUUUGACGAGGAAGAAGAAGACGGACCCCCUUUAAUCUGUUUGACUUUGAGAGGUAGACUUGGAGGAAACUUUCUUUCUAAAGUUCCGACGAAACUUCUUUGUUAAAAGUGCAAGUUGUUUUUUCAAAGUCCUCCAAGCUUUGCUCCGACUCAGAAUCUGAUGAGGUUGAAGAAACAUCUCCUUUUGUUGAUUUUAGAGCCAUCCCUUGAGGCUUUAGAGAAAGACUUGGAAGAAGAUGAAUUAGAUGGAAAGUCAUUUCAUAAGUUUGAAGAGCACCUACUAAUUCUUCUACUUUGAGUUUUAUCAGGAUGUUUGACCCGUUUCAAUAGCCGCAACCUUAGGACGAAAUCGUUCGCGAAGGGUUCUCAAAAUUUUUCGAACAAUUUGGAAUCGGGAAUUUCUCGCCCAAGUUAGCACACGUGUUUACAAUGUCUUGGCAAACGAGUAUAAUACUCGGUAAAAGAUUCAAUGUUCUUCCAUACGAAUGGAAUCAAAUUGCUAGUAGCAUUUGCAAUUUUGAAUCUUAACCAAACUUGUACACUCGUGUGUAACUCGGCAAAGUUCCCGAAAUCUCUUGGCGGUUUCGACACGCCGAGACGCGAGAAAAUUCAGUUUGGUUUAAAGCAUUGAAUAAAGCAUUUGAUACCUUUCCGUUGAACGAAGAUAGUUCAUUUUUCCUCUUUCGUCCAUUUAUUCCUAGUUUCGGCACGGUAAACAUUUCUCGACAAACUUCGGUAGGAUUUUUUCCAUCCGAAUUCAAUGGCUGCCAAACCCGCUCGUCGAUAGCAAUAAGAAACGCCCUCAUACGGACUUUCCAAUAAGCAUAGUUAGUGCCAUCGAAGAGCGGAGUCGAUUGAUGUUACCUGCCUCAGCCAUGAAUUACAACCUAUACCCGCUCUGAUACCACUUGUGAGUUAUGGAUCCCGAGGAUCUUAAAAGGUAAGUAACACUUAGAGGGGGUGAAUAGGUGUAAAUCCGCAAACUCGAAAAAAAUCUGAUGCAAACAAAACAAAUAGCGGAAAUUAAAACAGCACCGGAGAUAUUUAACGUGGGAAAACUCCAAUUCGGAGUGAAAAACCCACGGGACCGAUCCGCAAAGAAAAUCACUAAGAAAACUUGAGUACAAGUGAUUUCGACAAAAACCCACGACUCAUUUACCGAUUUCUUGUUGACGUGAUCUUUGCUGGUCCCGAUCGAUAGGAAUCCACCAAUUGACCUUGCGCAACUCCUCGCAGCGUCAACAGCCCUCAACUCCUCGAAGCGUCCACGAAUCCUCGGCUCACGCGAGAUCCCGCCGAACCUCCUUCCGGAGCUUGUAGACUUGAAGAUUUGUGGUGAUUUUAACUUUUGAAAACCAUAAGCUAUGAGGGUUCACCUUUAAUCAAUCAUCUACUUGAUUCUCGAAGAAGUAUCGAGUACAACGAAGAAUCAAGCCGAUGUUGAUUGCUAGAAACUCAUUACGUAAAUCUAAGCGUUGAAACGGGGAGAAAUAAGUUUUAGGUUUAGAAUUGGUAAAAUAUUCAAAGCCUUAAUUUUAGAUGACCCACAUAGCUUAUUUAUAUGUUUAGAAGACUUAGAAGUAGACUAGGAUUGCAAAAAGUCGUUUUCAAAAACUGUGUCGUCCUCAGAGACCGUUCCUCUCGAGGAGACCGGUCUGUGAGAGACCGGUCUCUCAAGUGAGGAACCGUCCCUCCCUGCGUGACCAAAAACCCAACGUUCGGGAACCCGGUCUCUCAAACUUGAGACCGGUCCCUCGCUGCGCGACAGAAUCACCAAGGUUCGGGAACCGGUUUCUCAUCACAGGGGACCGUUGUAUCAUGGUUUACGCAGUGAGGACCUUAGGGGAACCGGUCUUCCAUCUCAGAGACCGGUCUCAGAACACAUGAAAGUUCAGAAAGUUGUUUUAAAGCAAUCUAAGCCUUCUGAACUUAUUCUAAUUAU
rnacentral:lncRNA from 1 species